GGUUGCCGAUAGUGGGAUAUCUUCCAUUUCUUGGAACCGAUAAUCUUCACCUGUCCUUCACCGAACUGGCUGCAACCUAUGGUCCCAUCUUCAAACUUUGGCUUGGCAACAAGCUAUGCGUCGUAAUUAGCUCACCGGAACUAGCAAAAGAAGUGGUUCGUGACCAUGAUGUAACAUUCUCUGAACAAGAUCCACCCAUUGCUGCACAAGUUGCUAGCUUUAGUUGCAAUGAUAUUGCAUUCGAUUCUUACAGCAAUCCUCGGUGGAAAAACAAACGUAAAGUUCUUGCAACCGAGUUGCUUACCAAUGCUAGGCUGAAUGCUUGUUAUGGUCUACGAAGAGAACAAGUAAUGAAUGGCCUUAAAGAUGUGUAUGAAAAUGUUGGCAAGCCAAGUGAUAUUGGGAAAUGGACAUAUUUAGUGGCAUUAAAUGUGGCCAUCAGCAUGAUUUUGGGAGGUGAACUCCCAGGUGAGAAAGGGGCGGCCAUUGAAGGUAACUUGAAAGAGAAUUCGUCUGAAUCAAUGGUGUUACUGGGAAAACCGAACGUCUCCGAUAUUUUUCCGGCGAUUGCACGGUUUGACAUACAAGGUAUUGAGAGGGGAAUGAGGAAAAUCAACCAACAGUUCAAUCGACUUCUUGAAUCUGUAAUUGAAGUGGCCAUUGAUAAGGAAAAAGAUAAGAAGAGUAGUGAACAAAAAUUAGGCUUCUUAGAGCUGCUAUUGCAUUUGGAACGCAAUAACAACGAAGAUAAUGCAUCACCUCUUACAAUGGAUGAAGUCAAGGGUCUGCUCGUGGUAAGUUGUGAAUUUCGUUUUCAUUUUUUUAUUUGUUAGUUAUUUAUUUAUUUAUUUUUGGAAAUUUGAAUUUUUUUUGAAUAUUACACUAAAAAUAACGAAUAGCACAAUUUUACCUUUGUAUAAAAUUGAAUAUUAACAACUUUCAUGUUAAAACAAAUUAAUUUAACAAUCUUUAAUAUAUAUAAGCAUGACUUUUAAGAUACCCUUUAUUGUUAAAUAUAUUAUUAAAUUGACAUUAAAAUAAUAAUUUAUUAAUAUUAUUAUGUGAUAAUAAUAAAAGUUAACAUGAUAGUAUAUUAAUGUGAAAUUAAUUAAUUUGAUCAUAUCUUUUAAAAGUUUUAGUUAAAAAAUAAUAAAAUAUAUUAUUAAUUAAUAAAAUUAUAAAUCUAUAAAAUCAUUGAAUAUAAUUGGAUAAAUUAAAAACAAAAACUAAGUUUUUUUAAUUAAAUAAACACAAUUUAUAUAUAAAUAUGAUUUUAUUUUAAAUAUGUUAAUAAUUAAUAAUUUUAAAAUCAUUUUUACAUAAUUAAUAAAAACUAAAUGUGCGAGACUAACAUUAUAUAUAUAAAAAUAAUAUCAAUAUACUGAUAAUAUAAUCUACAAUGUAUGAAUUUAUUUAUUUAUCCUUAAUUUAUAUGUAAGAACUCAAAAGAAAAUAAAUAUAUUUUAUAAUUAAAUUAGAUAUUAUUUUUUAUAAAUAUUAAUUGCAUCUAAUUAAAUUUAUUCAAUUAAACACAAAUCUCAACUCAACAAAUAGUUUGACUCAUAUCUAUUUGAGAAAUUAAGAUGAAGAAAGUCAAUUAAUUAAAAUUUAGUAUUUUGCAUUAUCUAUGUUUCUUAUUAUUAUUAUUUUUUAAAAAAAUUAUAAAAUUUAUAAAAUAAUUAUAAUUACUUAUACCAAUUAAAACUAAUUUUUAGCACUAUAAAUAUAUGUAUUGGUAAGAUAUUUUCAUUUAAAAUAAUAUCUACAGAGUUAAAUGAAAAAAAAUAAAAUUUUAGUGUUAUGUACUUAACAUAUGAACUAGUAUAUAUAAAAUAAAUAAAUUAUAAAAAAUAUUAAUAUAAUUAUUUAAAUUUUAAUAAAUUGAUAUUAAUAUUCAAACUAUGAUAAAUUUUUGUAUUGUUUUAACAUUAAAUAAUAUUAAUAUAAGUUAAUUAAAUAUUUUUUUUAAAAUAUUUUGUAAUUAUAUUAUUAUUUUUCAAUUCAUUAAUGAUUUUAAACAAAAUUUAAUGUUUUAAAAAUAUUAUAAAAUUAAUAUACCCAACCGACUACGAAAAUAAAAAGUAAUUACUAUAUAUAUAAUAUACCCUUUAUCUUUGCAUAAUAUACCCUUUUAUCUUUGCUUUCUAGUUUGGGUAAUUAAUGCUAUUAAUUUUGAACUUUUAGGAUAUAUUGGUGGGUGGUACAGAUACUACUACAACUAUGGUAGAGUGGACAAUGGCAGUGCUAAUGCAACAUCCAGAAAUAAUGGAGAAAGUGAAGAAAGAAUUAAGUGAUGUUGUUGGGGUAAACAACACCGUUGAAGAAUAUCACUUGUCUAAUUUAAGUUACCUAAACGCUGUGAUAAAGGAAACCUUCCGACUGCAUCCAGCACUACCGCUCCUUGUUCCUCGAUGUCCGGCCCGAUCCGUCCAUCUCAAUGGCUAUACCAUACCAAAGGGCAGUAGGUUGUUCAUAAACAUGUGGUGCAUUCAUAGGGAUCCUCUUAUUUGGGAGAAUCCUUUAGAAUUUCGACCAGAAAGAUUCUUAAAUGAUCCUGAUAAUUCAAAUCAUUAUGGAAAUGAUUUUCGGUUCAUGCCAUUCGGGUCCGGAAGGAGAAAGUGCCCAGGAAUACCCUUAGAGGAGAAGCUAUUGUUUUUCAUAUUGGCUUCAUUGUUGCAUUCUUUUGAGUGGAGAUUGCCACACGGAACAGUGCUUGACAUGUCCAGCAAAUUUGGAAUUGUUAUGAAGAAAAAGGAGCCUACACUUCUUAUUCCUGCACCAAGAUUGACAAAUCUUGAUGCUAAUGGUUAAAAACGCAAAAAAGACGAUGAUUGAAUCUCUUAUCUGCACUUUAAUAAUUAAAUUUAGAAUUUAUUAAUGUAUCUCCUUGUUUUAUAUUUAAUGCGUUUUAAACUAUAAUUGUCUUUUUAUGUUGUAGGUAUCCAAUAUGGCAUUGAUAUUGGAUAUUUUGGUAAUAAAGCGCAUAUAUUACAUUGAAUUUAAUUCGAAAAAAAUCAAAAAACAAUUUGAAUUAAGACGAUUUGGAGAUUUUUUAAAAUAGAAAUUAUAAUUGUAAUUAUCUAAACCAAAUCAAAAUUUAAUUUUAUUAAUUUAUAAUGAAAAACAAAUUAAUUAAAAAUUAAUAUUUUCAAUGAUUUAAUUUUGUUGGAACUUACCGUAAGCAUUUAAGUUUUGUCGAGGCUUACAAUCUCAAUUUCAACUUGAUUUGACUUCAAUUUUAAAUAGUUUUCAAUUUAAUUUUGGCAUCGAAUGGGGUAGAUAUUUGGAUAUCUACUUGUGUUUUUUUGGAAAAAUAAUAAUAAAAUCAAAGUUUUAUUUUAAAUAAACUAAAAUUAUGUUUUUAGAAAAUAAAAAAAAAAUCAUGUCGGGGUUUGGGUGAAAGAUCAUUUAAAUUCAAAGGCCAAAAUGUUUUGUUUUCCAAGCACAAUUUUUAAUGUUAAAUCAAAUUGGUUUUAGUCUAGUCAGAGGCCAAAUUAGGAACAAUAUCAAUAUCAAUUCCUUUGAUGGGUGUCGAAUCCACCAAUAUAAACCUACGCCUUAAUUUGCAAAUUAUGCAUAACGGUGUUUGCUCGUUGGAGCAGCGGCUAGUUGACAAAUGGUUCGGUUCGCCAUCCUUUCUAGUUCACCGAGGUUGUCUUCUGCUUCUUUUGUUUCAGGAAGUGAUUCGGUCUCAGGUUCAACCACUUCGACUUGUUUGCCACGUCGAAUUGCCUCUGCACGAAUUGCUUGUCUCAACUUUUCAAUGUCGGUUUCUAAGAGCCCUUGUCCUAGCUCAACUUCUGCUUUACUUGCACGCUUAAGAGCUUCUGUCUCUUUUCGUCGUGUUCGUGCUGAUUUUUCGAUCUCUGAGCCGUAUUCGAGAUCUCCGGAUGAAGAUCUGGUCAUGAAGAUAAUUUAAACAAUUGUGAGUGUUGCCAGUCCCCGGCAACGGCGCCAAAACUGAUGGGUGUCGAAUCCACCAAUAUAAACCUACGCCUUAAUUUACAAAUUAUGCAGUAUAGGGAGUAGGGUCGAUCCCUCAGAGACUGGUUUACUGUAAAUUGUUGCUCUCUUGACCAGAUUUAUGUUGGGGCAGCUGUCGUGCCCAAGAGAUUCGGGGGGAUAAAAUUUGAUGACCUGAAAUAAACAAAAAAAUAACGUAAAAAGUAAAAGUUGAAAACAGGAUAAUAAAAACAGUGAAAUAAAUAUUAAGAAAAAUUAAUUAGAUUAAGCUCAGCCUUAGGUACGGAUUUUCCCUCGUCUUUGAUCCGAUCCUCGAAAUUAAAUGAACUCCUCUUCUCCAAUAAGCUAGUUAUAGCUACCAAGGACGCCUUGGACUCCAACUCUUCAUUGUGUAAAUUAGUUAUGGAACGUCCAAUAACUAACCAUUACCGAUCGGACAACCACGAAACGUUCGUGAUUUAGAACUCCGGCAGCUUUGCGUUCUAGAAGAGCCUAGCUCAAACCAAUGCCCUCAACCGCGUGGGACAUUUAAAUCCGGUCACUACUUCCCUUGACGGAACCAAACAGCUAUCUCCACUUGGCACGCCAAUGUGUUCACAGAAAACUGAUUAGAAACGUUCCUUUCGGAAUUCCAACUGUACGUCUAACCACACUAAAUCAAAUGACGUCUUUUUGACUUAAUGUUGAUCUGACUUUGCGAGUCGACAAAAUCAUACUCUUAAUCCGGAGAAAUAAUAAGUACUGGAAUUUAGGAGUUAAAUUGCUCGGGUUAGUAACUUAGGGGUUUUGACGAGGUUAAUUCCGACCUAAAGCUGAAAGAUGGGUUUAGUUAGCUAUGGUUUGGGGCAUGUUGGUAUUUGAUAAAUUAAAUAAGGUAAAUGGGUGAAAAGAUGGGUGACGUGAUUGAUUGUGGGGGUUGGAAAAAUAUAUUAAAGUGGGGUGGUUGACUAUUGGGAAUGAAAAGAAAAUUUGAAAAAGAAAUUGUAAAUUGUGAGUAGUAAUGGAAAUUUUAAGGAAUUGAAAGUAGAGAAUACUAAAGACAAUAAAUAUAUUGUUGAAUAUAUAGUUGAAAGUAAGGUAAAUGGGUGGUUGGCUACUGGAAAGAAAUUGAAGGAAAGGAAACUAAAGAAACAACAAAUGCUACGUGAGAAAGGAGAGAAUUGAAAGAUAAAAGCUUAAUAUUUUUUAUUGAUGAAUAAAUGAACAAUACAUGCUCUAUUUAUACUAGUAGAUUUACUAAAUUAGGAGCCAACUAGUCAUAGGAAUUUAAGGAAAAAAAUAUUCCAUGACAAAAAAAUAUCCUAAAAUAAUCUCCCACUAAGUCAACAAUUUCAGCUAAUUAAUCUUGGAAAAAUUCUUCUUUGGCCCUUCUUCUUUGCUUCUUUCUUCAAUCUAGCCCAAUUGUUUCCUUUUUCUUCUAUUUAGCCCCAAAUUGCAUUCCUGCACAAAAUUCAAUAAAUAUGGCAAAAUUAAUGGUGCAUUCUCAUAAAUUAACCAAUUUAAUUACAUAAAAUUUAAUCACCCUUUUAUUUCCCAUUUGCUUCAGAUUUUGAAAUCUUGAGUGGUAAAUUUGCCAAUUAGGCCUCUUUGCCUUUUUACAUUUUUUGUUUUUCAAAAUUAAGCUUCUUUUUUAGUAAAAGAUCACACUACAUUUUUUUUUUCGAAAUUAGAUUUUUUUUAAAGUUUUUAAAUUUUAAUUUCAAUUAGUUUUUUUUCUUUUCUUUCUUUAUUUUAUGAUUUGAAUUUUAAAAUUUCAAUUUUACUCCUUCUAAUGAGAAUAAUUUUUUUCAAUUAAAUAAAUUUAGUCUUUUCUUUAUUAUGCUUGUUCAACUUUAUUUCCAUAUUGUUUGCAAAAUUUCUUCUUCUUCUUCUUCUUUUUUAAUGCAUUUUGGUUGAAUAAAAAAACAAACAAACGGUACAAUUUUUUUAAUGAAAAAGAGUGAAAAAUAAUAAGUGGAUAAUGAGCUAGUUAUAAAGUUAUAUUUAUCAAAAAAAUUUAAUUAUAUUCCGUAUUUAAUUUUUUAAAAUAUUUCAAGUAAAUUUUAUAAUUUAAAUUUAAUAUUUAAUUUUUCAACACUUAACUUAAAAAUUCUAAAUAAAAGUUAUUGAUUAUUUUUAUUUAUUUGAAAAAUAAUUUAAAAAAAAUAUAUUUAUAAAAAAAAUUAUAAAAAAUCAUCAAACAAAAUUGACAAAAGAUCUGAAUUCUUAUCAAUGUGUCGAAAGACAUCGACCAUAAAUGUAAACAUCUUUAAAGGCCAAUAUUUUGUCCACACACCACAUAUAACUUAUCCCCUCUACUAACUCCAAAUAAAUUAAAUAUUAAAAAAUUAUAUAAUUAAGCUAUUUAAAUUAUGAAAUUGAUCUCUUUAAAAAAAAAUUGUCAAGCUGACAAAUAUUGGUUGCGGUGGUAAAGUUAAUAGCACCUUAAAAAAGAUACGGGUUUAAAUUUUGGAGAUAACAUUUUUAACAUGAGUAGCCACGAAUCCUGAACAUGAACGAUAAACUGGACAUAAAAAAUACCGAAAAUAAUGUAUAUAUUAGCCGGUCAACUUUUCAUAUUGUUGCUAAGCAAUGCUAUGGGUUCAAUAUCUUCUAUGAUGUCUUUUAUGUUAUUACUUGUUUAUCAUAGCAUACGCUUAAAAACUAUCGAUUUUUCAAUAGUUGUGUGGGGAUGACAUCUUUUGAUGCUAGCUAGAAAGAUCACUCAUUGGCAUUGACCAAAUAAGCACAGUAGGGUGAUCUGGUUAUGGCUAAAAUUCAGUAAAAAACACAGUUGAUUGGACUGCAUAGAAAUGGGAUGAAUAUAUCAAGAGAUUUCAAAAUUUUAAAAGAAAGUUAAAUUCAAAAAUAGAUAGAUUAUGGUCAAGCCAACAGUACUUUUUACAAUAGAAAGUUUCGAUUCACUGGAUUACAAUUUGUGGAGGAGAUGACAUCAUUAUUUGAUGAGAAAUCGUGCUAUAAAAAGAAGAUUUAAUCAUUUUACUUUCAUGGAAUGUUGAACGCAAUGCUUCUUUUUUCAAAAGAAAUGGUUGUGCCUACACAAGCAGUUGAAGUAACACAUGAGCCAUAUCAUCAAUAAUUGAGAGAUGUAUUUAAGGUAAUAAAUUACUUAUUAUAUGAUUAUAUCUUAUUUAUUUAUUAUAAUAAUAUUUUUUCUUAUUAAUUGCAAAUAGGGUGCUAAUGGUGAACUUGAUGGGGCUUAUUCAUGCAAUAAUACCAAUUAAUGUGCUAGUCAUAUGUGAUUAAUAUGAAAUUUGCAUUUGUGUGGGCUAAAUGGGAAGGUGUAACACAUAGUAGAAACCAUGAAAAUUCAAAAAAAAUAGUUUUCCAUAUCAUCCACAAAGUUAGUAUAGUUUUUCUAUAAUUAAUUUUGUAAUAAACUCAUAAAGUGUUUAAUAUAAAUUUUACAAAUAAAUAUUAUUUCUAUGUAUUCAUUGUUAGAGUAUAGAGACUGCUAGUCUGUUAUUAUUCUGGUACCGAGUCUGGUAUGAAGUUGGUUAACAGCAGUUACUCAUGUAUAAGUAUAUAAACUCUAGCAAUAUUUUCUGUAUUUUCUAAUCUUUCAAUAUUGUUCACUGUUUUACAUAAUAAUCUAGUUACUAACAUGGUAUCAAUCGCCUAAUUUCCAGGUACUUGCUUCCGUUGCCGAUCCAUGGCUAAUUCAACAGAUUCUACUUCUGCUGGUCAUACUAGUCCACUUUUCAGCUCACAUUUGGUUCAGUCAUUUCUGCGUCAUGACACCGUGAAAUUGGAUGAAGGGAAUUUUGUGCAAUGGCAGCAACAUGUUCGUUUAAUGUUGCAAGGAUAUUUAGAGGGCACGUUACCUGCUCUGCCUAGAUUUGUGGCAUCUCCGGAAAGUGUUUUAACUCCGAAUCCUGAUGCGUCCUUGUUUGUUCAACAAGAUAAGUUGCUCGCGUCUUGACUUCUAUCUACUAUUAGUGCUUCCUUAUUGACUUGUUUAUAAUUUCUUUUAAUGAUAAAUAAUUUUUCUUUAAAAAAAAAUGUCAAGACUCAAUUAUUUAAUUCGUGAUAUCCAAUAUCUCUUCCACUACUUGUAUGGGUGGCCAUAUUCCCAUUUCAAAGAAAAAAACAAAAAAUCCCAUUUCUGGUUUUCAUUUGAAUUGAGUGGAUGAACUUAGUUUUAGCUUGAAUUGUUUUGACUUUACGCAUUUCUUGUCAGAUCGUUACAGAGAAAACUACAAGAGGAAACGUCCAAGUGAACCUUCACCAUAGCGACUUCUCAUAGAAGAAUCCAAAAUUAAUAAGAUAUCAGUUCAGUCAACUGUAUUUACUAAGGGUGAGUUUGGAUGGGCGGUGCGUUUAUUUGCGGUUAGUGUAAAAACAGCGAUGGCGAUGAGAUUAAAUACUGUAGCAAUACUGUAGCGUGAGACAAAAAGUAAGCUAAACGCACCGCACCGCACCCAAUCGUCUAUCCAAACUCACUCUAAGUUUUUUGUUUUUGUUUCUGGAUUUGAGUAAGCUGUUUGUAACGUUAUUUACUUUUUACUAUAGGUUUAAUGUAUUAUUUAAUACUCAAUUUUAAUAUAUUUUUUAAUGUGGUAUAUGUAUUAUUUUUUGUUUAAUCUAGUGUUUAUAUUUGACAAAAGUUAUAUAUUUCGAUACCCAAAGGCAAUGGUGUUACUUUUUUAAUAUUUAAUUCGAGUUUUAGAGUUUGAUGAAAAUACAUUAAAGCUAUAUAUUAACAAUUAACUUUCAUCAAAUUAACCCUAAAACCUGAACUAAACACUAAAAUAUUAGAACUGUUACCUUUAGGUAUUAAAAUGUAUAUCCACAAGUAUCACAUUUGACAGAAAACAUAGAUACCACAUUUAAAAAAUAUCAAACUUAAGUACCAAAUUAUGUAAUAAGCCUAAUAUUUAUAUAUCGAGAUUAUGUAUGGUUUGUAUAAUGUGUAAUCGUAUUUACAUGUAUGAUAUGAAUGCAUUAUAUUCAUAAAUUUUGGGUUCGAAUCUUAUCAAGUACAUUUUUCUAAAUUUUACAUGAAUUAAAAUGAUAAAAAAAUACUCUCAUAAUAAUAUUUAUUAAUUUAUAAAAGGGAGAGUUUAUAGUAAUUACUCAACUAAGUCUACAUAAUCUGCUUUUUGAAUAUAAUAUAGAUUUAAAAGGUUAUAAAAUUGUUUUCCCUUUUGAAAUUAUAUAUUAGAAUUUGUAAAGAUUAUGUGAUUUUAAUAUUUGAAAUAUCACAUAUGUUCAAAUUAAAUUUAAAAAAAAUUAUAUUUCAUAUAUCAUAAUAUUAAUGAAUUUAAAUAUAAUUUAAAUUAAAUUAAUUUUUACAUUUCAAUAUAAUGCCACAAUAAUAUUAAAUACUUAAAAUAAAAAAAUUACAAUUUCUAACAAUAUUUUUUCAAAAAAAUAAUUUUUAGCCUUUGGACUUCUCCGCACACAGUUAAUCAGAUGAACAAAAAAGAUAACAAGUUGUGUGAUGACUAACAAUUUCUUUUUAUAAUUAAAGGGUUAGUGUUCACACACAAAGUAGGGGCAUAGAUACCCAUACUAUACAUACGUAUGCGUUAGUUCAAAAGAAAGCCUAUUACUUAAUCUUUGGAAGCUUUAACCAAAGUGAAUUUUACGAGUGAAUCCCUUAAUCAUCAUAAUAAUUAUGCGAAUUAUACUUCUACUAAAUAUACGAGUAAAUAUGUCAUAUUAUAUUUAUCAAAUAUAAUUUAUUUUUGUAAUGAUAAAAAGUGGGAACCAAAACAAUAAUCUACCAAAAUGCAAUGAUUAAUUCUACUAAAUAUAUGAUUAAUUUAUUUUGAGUAAUUAUACUUCUACUAAAUAUAUGAGUAAAUAUGUCAUAAUAUUGAUUAAUUCGAAAAAUAUAAUCACUAGAAUUAAUCAAAACUAAAAAUAUUUUAAAAUUUUAGUUAUCAUAUUAAAAUUUUUUUCUCAAAGUUGAAGUAGGAAAUAUUCUUUUUAUCUAAACCAAUAACGUAGUUGUACUAUAAAUCAUGGUCCCUUUUCAGCAAUAAUAGACACAGCAGUGACAGCACCUCGUGAUAAGCUCAGUGGGUUCACCUUAAAAUUUCUUGGUUUUCCUCCCAAAGCAACAAGAUGUUGCAAACAGCUUGCAUCUCGUUUUCAUGGCUGUUGAAUGUUGGCAACCAGAAAGAUGGACUGUUCCUAGCAUCUUUCUCGUUUCUGGUUGCCAUAUUGGGAAUUUCACUCUUGUACUCAUUUUGGAAGGCAAGGAAACCGAUGGCUCCAUUACCACCUGGUCCCCGUGGGUUGCCAAUCCUGGGGUAUCUUCCAUUUCUUGGAUUCGAUAAUCUCCAUCUGGUCUUUACGGAGUUGGGUAGAGUUUAUGGUCCCAUUUACAAGCUUUGGCUUGGGAACAAGCUAACCGUAGUAAUUAGCUCUCCAUCGCUUGUAAAAGAAGUGGUUCGUGACCAUGAUAUAGCAUUUUCAGAGCGAGAACCUCCCAUUGCUGCACAGAUUAUUACCUUUGGCUCCAGUGAUAUUGCGUUCGACUCUUACAGCAGUCCCAGCUGGAAAAACAAGCGCAAAGUUCUCGCGACCGAUAUGCUAAGCAACGCUAACCUUAAUGCUUGUUAUGAUCUACGACGAGAGCAAGUGAUGAAAAUGGUCGAGGAUGUGUAUGAAAACGUUGGCAAGCCAAUUGAUAUCGGCGAAUUGGCAUUCUGUACGUUAAUCAAUUUGAUCGGAAAGAUGGUGUGGGGAGGCGCACUCCGAGGAGAGAAAGGGACUGCGGUUGAGGGUCGCUUCAAAGAAAUUUCUUCGCAGAUGGUGGUGUUAAUUGGAAAACCAAACAUUUCCGAUAUUUUCCCCGCGAUUGCAUGGUUCGACAUGCAAGGUAUCCAGAGGGGAAUUAAGAAAAUCCGUCAAUCGUUCAAUGAACUUUUAGAGUCUGUGAUUGAACUCAGAAUGAACACGGUGACUGAGAAAGAAACGAGUGAACAAAAAUCCGACUUCUUACAAUUGCUCUUGGAUUUACACAAGAACCAAGAUAGCCCUUCAUCACUUACGAUGAAUCAAGUAAAGGGCCUUCUCAUGGUAAGAUUUUAUGAUUUUUAGCUAUCAUACAUUAUUUUUCCUUCUUUAAUUCGUUUUGAGUAAUUGGUGGUUUGUAAUAGGACAUUGUGGUGGGUGCAACAGAUACCACUUCAACUACGACAGAGUGGGCAAUGGCAGAGCUAAUGCAACAUCCAGAAAUAAUGGAGAAAGUGAAGAAAGAAUUAACUGAUGUUGUUGGGGUAAAUGACAUCAUUGAAGAGUUUCACUUGCCUAAUUUAAGUUACCUAAGUGCAGUGAUAAAGGAGACCUUCAGAUUGCAUCCACCCGUGCCCCUUCUUGUUCCUCGUUGUUCUGCUCAAUCACUCACUGUGGGUGGCUAUAACAUACCAAAGGGUAGCAAGGUGUUUUUAAACAUGUGGUUCAUUCACACGGACCCCAAUAUUUGGGACAACCCUUCAGAAUUUCGACCCGAAAGGUUCUUGGAUGAGCCUGGAAAGUUCGAUUUUCUCGGAAAUGAUUUCCGAUAUAUGCCAUUUGGGUCAGGAAGGAGACGGUGUCCAGGCAUAACCCUAGGGGAGAAGAUGUUAUCUUUCAUAUUGGCCUCAUUGCUGCAUUCUUUUGAAUGGAAAUUGCCCCAAGGCGAACAGCUUGAUCUUUCAAGUAAAUUUGGAAUUGUUAUGAAGAAAAAGAACCAUUUACGUCUUAUUCCCAUACCGAGAUUGUCUGAUCAUGUGCUUUACAAAAAGUAAUGGUUAUAAACUAUUAUUAUAUGUAUCCCCUUUUGCGUCUUAUUCCCAUACCGAGAUUGUCUGAUCAUGUGCUUUACAAAAAGUAAUGGUUAUAAACUAUUAUUAUAUGUAUCCCCUUUUGCAAAUUACUGUUGUCUAUAAAUCUUGGCAUGUCAUCUAGGACUGGGAUAUCAACUCUAAUGUCACGAUUUUAUUGAUGUCUUUUAUUCGAUUGAAUAAAAAAAGAGUUAUUAGUUUGAUGAUUAAGAGUUAGUGAAUUUAUCUUUGAAAUUUAAAUUUGAUUUCCUUCCCUCAUGUAACUUUUAUUUUUUUUAUAUUUUUGCCUAAAACCCUAGCUGUAUUGUCCCAUGCUGUAACCCUAGAUAUAAAUAUUAUUUAAUUUUCUGUUCAACCUCUUUGGAUCAUUUAUUCUUUUCUCUUUGCUGUCCCACCCUCCUCUCUUCCUCUCAUUCUUCAAUUUUUCCUCAUCCUUGCCUUGCAGCCCCUAAAACCCUAAUUUGUCCAUCUUUUUGCCGCCUCUUUCUUCCCUUCCUCCAUUUGUGGCCGCCACACCCCAUUGAUCGUCUCCUCCUCUUGUUUUCUUUUAAUUUUUAUUCAUCUGUUCACUUCUCUGUUGUGGUUGAACUUUACUGAUGAUUUUUUGCCAUUGCCACACCUAUUUGCUCUCAUUUUCUGUUGAAUGAUGGUCAGCAUGCAGCCAUGAAGCAGACAGCAAGCAGGCCAUGAAGAUCAAGCCAUGCAGGAGCUACUGGAACGAGAUCAACUGUUCCUAUUUUGUUCAUUUUGCAAUCUUAAGUUAAUGUAAUGUACUUUAGUUCAUUUAGAACUAUGUUAGGUUUAUGAUUGAUGUAAUUUUGAUGACAAAUGAGCUGUUAACUCAGCUUUGUUUAAGUGUGCAAGCUUAGUUUUUCAAGUUUCAAUGUAUUAGUGGUGGUAGGUGAUGAUUAGGUGACAUUAUGCAGAUUUUGACAAGCAAAUUGCUUGGUUUAUGUAUUGGCAUUAUGCCAUUGUUCAACUAUGAAUCAAAUCAGUUUAGUUUUCUUCAAAAAUACUCUCCAUUUUCUUUGCUUUUCUUCUUUCUUUUGUUUCAAAUUCAAUUGUUUCCUCAGCAAGUAUCGAGCCUUGCUGCUCAAGACACAAGCUAAGCUUGCUUGUUCUUUGUUUCCAGCACUAACAUUUUCCUUCAUUUUGUUGUUGAAAUCAGCCUCCUAUCUUGGCCGAUUGUGGUGUUCAAUUGUUUUCUGUUGAUUCCUUAUCUUGUAUCCGAAAAUUAGGAAGUGUAAGUUACUAACAUGGUAUCAGUCGCCUAAUUUCCAGGUAUUUGCUUCCGCUACCGAUCCAUGGCUAGUUCAACAGGUUCUACUUCUGUUGGUCAUACUAGUCCGUUCUCCAGCUCACAUUUGGUUCAGUCAUUUCUGUGUCAUGACACCGUGAAAUUGGAUGAAGGGAAUUUCGUGCCAUGGCAGCAACAUGUUCGUUUAAUCACAGAAGGAUAUGAGUUGCAAGGAUAUUUAGAGGACACGUUACCUGCUCCGCCUAGAUUUGUGGCAUCUUCGAAAGGUGUUUUAACUCCGAAUCCUAAUGCGUCUUUGUUUGUUCAACAAGAUAAGUUGCUCGCCUCUUGGCUUCUAUCUACAAUUAGUGCUUCCUUAUUGUCUUGUUCAUAAUUUCUUUUAAUGAUAAGUAAUUUUUCUUUAAAAAAAAAAUCAAGACUCAAUUAUUUAAUUCAUGAUAUCCAAUAUCUCUUCCACUACUUGUAUGGGUGGCCAUAUUCCCAUUUCAAAGAAAAAAAAAAUCCCAUUUCUGGUUUUCAUUUGAAUUGAGUGGAUGAACUUAGUUUUAGCUUGAAUUGUUUUGACUUUACGCAUUUCUUGUCAGAUCGUUGCAGAGAAAACUACAAGAGGAAACGUCCAAGUGAACCUUCACCAUAGCGACUUCUCAUAGAAGAAUCCAAAAUUAAUAAGAUAUCAGUUCAGUCGACUGCAUUGACUAAGUUUUUUGUUUUUGUUUCUGGAUUUGAGUAAGCUGUUUGAAACGUUAUCGACUUUUGACUAUAGGUUUAAUGUAUUAUUUAAUACUUAAAUUUAAUAUAUUUUUUAAUGUGGUAUAUGUAUUAUUUUUUGUUCAAUCUAGUAUUUAUAUUUGACAAAAGUUAUAUAUUUCGAUACCCAAAGGUAAUGGUGUUAACUUUUUAAUAUUUAAUUCGAGUUUUAGAGUUUGAUGAAAAUUCAUUAAAGUUAUAUAUUAACAAUUAACUUUGGUCAAAUUUACCCUAAAACUCGAACUAAACACUAAAAUAUUAGCACUGUUACCUUUAGAUAUUAAAAUGUAUAGCCACAAGUAUCACAUUGGACAGAAAACAUAGAUACCACAUUUAAAAAAAAUCAAACUUUAAGUACCAAAUUAUGUAUUAAGCCUAAUAUUUAUAUAUCGAGAUUAUGUCUGGUUUGAAUAAUGUGUAAUCGUAUUUACAUGUAUGAUAUGAAUGCAUUAUAUUCAUAAAAGGAAAAUUCAAAAUUCAACUUAAUUGAAUUGAGUUAUUCGAGAUAUUUAAUUUUUUUAGUCAGCUUGAAGAAAUAUUUCAAUUUUUCGCGUUCGAACAAGUUUUGAGUUGAAUUUUACAACUAGAAUAGCACCAAUAAUUCAAAUAACUAGAAUAAUAAAUUGUUGUAAAUACUCCUUUGCCCCUGUCAAUUUGAAAAAUAAGUAAAAUUACAAAAUAAUUAAAAUAAUUUUCAAAAAUUUAAAAUAUUUAUAAAAAAUCUAAAUUUUCAUAAUUUUUUAAAUUUAAAAAAUUAAAAAUCUUUAAAAGAUUCUAAAGAAUAUAUAAAGAAGUUUAAAAUUUUAAAAAUUUCUAAAAUAAUAAUUUUGAGGAGUUAAACAAGUAAAUUAUUAAUUCAAAUUUAUCAUAUUGAAAUAUCUUUUUUUCUCUUAUUUUACUUUAAAAUUUUUUUCCAAAUUUAUGUACACUCUAAUUAACAAAAUUUAAUUUAACAAGUUUUUUAAUUUAAUUUAAAUGAUUUUAUUAAAUUAAAUUCAAUGCUCAACCUACUAAUAUUCCCAUCAAAUUUUCCCAUUCUCUUGACCACAUAUUGUUGGGGUGAGUGUUAACAUAAUUUUUCAACAUCAAACAUACAAGCUCCACAACAAACAAAGUUAUCUAUAGUGCAAAUAAUAGUAUAAUUUCCCAACAAAUGAAAAAAAAAAGUACUUUAAUAUAUCAAAACUAAAAUAUAAUUUUUCACACAUAUCAAAAUAAGAGAAUUAACUAUACUGACAAAUGCACAAUACAAAAAUUGGGACCAUGUGUCUAUUUCACAAACAGUGUUUAGUGAAGAUUCACAAGAAAGCUUUGAAGAAUGGGAUCAUGUGUCUCUUUUCAACAAUCACAAACACAAUUCACAUAUGAAGACAAAUCCAUGCUUACCUUUCUGCUUUUAUAACCACAACAAAUUUCAAAGUUUCAGUAACAGUUUUUGUGGGGUUUAGGGAUUUUAAGGGUUUAGUGAUUUCUAGAUUUAAUAUUUUUUUAAAAGUAUGGUGUUUUUAUUUGUAAUUAUUGUAAAAACAAUAGUGAUAAUGAGAUUAGAUAUUAUAGCGCAAAAUAAAAUAAAAACUAAACGCACCGCAUUAAAAAUAAACGUCUAUUCAAGAGGGAACUUAAUAUUUCACUGUCGAAGUUUCAUUACAAUAAAUGUGAAGAUGGGUUCAUGGAACAAAUUUUUGUUUAGGUUUUGUUUUCGAACGAAAUUUUUUUCUUUUUUUAUUGUUAUAAACUUUUUUUUUUCUUUUUAGUGAUUUGAGGGUUUAAAUGGGUGCAAAACAAUUUGAAGGAGUUGAAUUGAUUUUUUGGAAAAACUUCAAGGGCUUAUUGUACCAAUAAGUCUUCUUAAAAAUAUUUUGUAAGUUAUUAGAAUUGGGUCCGUGUUGAACUAAUUAAACCAUCGGUUUGUCGGUCUAGAUGGUUCGAGUAAAUAAAUAAUUAAAAAAAUCAUAAAAAUAAAAGAAGAUAAAAACUAGUUUAACUAAUUUUUUUAACCUGGUUCGUACCAGUUCCUGUUCAAUUGGUCUAAAGCCUUUCUUUAAACAAUAUUAUGCCGAUCAAUUCUCGGUCUAAUCAAUUUGAUUGACUAAUUUAGUUCAAAUAAAUAUGAUAUUUUGAAUUUUUUUGAAGUGGGGAAGAGAAUGAGAUAAUAAAUUAAAUUUAUUUUUAAUUAAUAGAAAUUAAAGGAGAAUUGAAAAAAAUAAUUUAAAUUAUUUUUCAAUACAUGUGGUGUAAUAUGAUUGGUAGUUGAAUACAUGUGGUAUAAUUUGAUUUGUUCAGAUAAAAAUCUUAACGAGUGUUAGUUAGAUACCUAAAAGAAGUACCAAUUUAACUUCUAGUUUGUAAGUUUAGGUAUCCGUUAGGUCCAAAAAAAGCUAAAUGCCAAGUAGGUACAUAUUGCCAAGCUUAAUAAUACUAUAUUGUUGCUGAACGAGUGUGUGUGCCCUUAACUUAGCUGGUAUCAGGAUCAACCGAAAAGUACUAAAAUGCCGUUCAUAUAGAAUAUAAGUUACAUUGCAGUGUCGGCAUCAAAUUUUUUUUUUUAUCCCCGACCCAAUCAACAAGCAAUGAUUACACAGUGAUGCAUUUUGGUGCUGACCAUCGGAGUGUCGGCAUCGCCCAACAUUAUAGAUUAUAGGUCAUUUUCGUUAUAGGUUUUGGAUCUAAGUCAUUUUUGUAAAUAAUAAAUUUUUCGGGUCAUUUUUGAAAAAAAAAGUCUUACUUAGAUAUUUUAAUUUCCUUCAAAUCAGUAUAUUAUGAGUGCAAAACAGAGGGUUGUAGCUUAAAUUAUGAUAAAAAUACUAAAGUUGCAAUAUGUGAAAGUCUAAGCCGUAAAACUUGCAAAAAAUAAACUUUAAACUUUUUUUUCUCAAAUUAUACCCUAAAUUAAUAAUAUAUAAAAUAUAAGUAUAAAUAUUAUAAUUAUUAACAUAACUAGCAUACGGUGAAAAAUAUGACUGAUAAAUAGAGAAAUUGGACAAUUAUCAAUAGUUUACGAUUUUCUUUUGUAAAGCUCAAGAUUAGUUAAUCUUGGUGUGGGAAUCAGAUGUAAAGGGUUCUUUUUACCCAUAAUGAUUCCAAAUUUACCAGAAAGGUCAACCUUUUCGUCCUGGGGCAAUUUCCACUCAAAAGAAUGCAGCAAUGAGGCCAAUAUGAAAGAUAACAUCUUCUCCCCCAAGUUAAUGCCUGGACACUUUCUCCUUCCGGACCCGAACGGCAAAUAUCGAAAAUCAUUUCCACGGAAAUCUAAUUUUCCAGGCUCAUUUAAAAACCUCUCAGGUUGAAAUUCCAUAGGAUUGUCCCAAAUAUUAAGGUCCCUGUGAAUGGACCACGUAUUUAGGAACACCCUACUACCCUUUGGUAUGGUAUAGCCACCCACAGUGAGCGAUCGGGCUGAACAUCGGGGAACAAGGAGCGGCAAUACUGGAUGUAAUCGGAAGGUUUCCUUUAUCACUGCAUUUAGGUAUCUUAAAUUAGGCAAGUGAAACUCUUCAACAGUGUUGUUUACCCCAAUGACAUCAUUUAAUUCUUUCUUCACUUUCUCCAUUAUUUCUGGAUGUUGCAUCAGCUCUGACAUUGCCCACUCUGUUGAACCCGAAGUAGUAUCUGUUCCAGCCACCACAAUGUUCUAAUUUAAAAUACAUUAGCACCCAAGACAAGUAAAAGGAAGAAGAAAAAAAUAGGAUAGUUAAAAACAUAGAAACUUACUACUAGGAUACCCUUGAUUUGAUUCAUUGUAAGUGAUGAAGGGCUAUCUUGGUUCUUAUGUAAAUCCAAGAGCAUCUGUAACACAUCAGAUUUUUGUUCACCAGUUUCCUUCUUCAUUCUUUCUUCAAUCACUGAAUCCAAAAAUUCAUUGAACGAUUGACGGAUUUUCUUCAUUCCCCUCUCAAUGCCUUGUAUGUCAAACCAAGCAAUCGAUGGAAAAAUAUCGGAAAUGUUUGGUUUUCCCAAAAACACCAUUAUCUCUGCAAAAAUCUUUUUGAACUGACUCUCCACGAUAGUCCUUUGCUCUCCUUGGAUUUCGCCUCCCCACACCAUGUUGCCGAUCAAACUGGUUAACGUACGAAAUGCCAAUUCACCGACAUCAAUCAGCUUACCGACGUUUUCAUACACAUCCCCCACCAUUUCCAUCACUUUUUCUCGCCGUAGAUCAUAACAGGCAUUAAGAUUAGCGCUGCUAAGCAUAUCGGAUGCGAGAAUUUUGCGCUUGUGUUUCCAGCUGGGACUGCUGUAAGAGUCGAAUGCAAUAUCAUUAGUGCCGAAGGUAAUAAUCUGCGCAGCAAUGGGAGGUUCUCGCUCUGAAAAGGCUAUAUCAUGGUCACGAACCACUUCUUUUACAAGCGAUGGAGAGCUAAUUACUACGAUUAGCUUGUUUCCAAGCCAAAGUUUGUAGAUAGGACCGUAAACUCCGGCCAACUCCGUAAAGACCAGAUGGAGAUUAUCGAAUCCAAGAAAUGGAAGAUACCCCACUAUUGGCAACCCAAGGGGACCAGGCGGUAAUGGAGCCAUCGGUUUCCUUGCCUUUAGAAAUGGGUACCAGAGUGAAAGCCCCAACAUGGCAACCAGAAAUAGGAAAGCUGCUGGUAAGAAUCCAUCUUUCUGGUUGCCACCAUUCAACAGCCAUGAAAGAAAGCUGUAAGCUGUUUGGAACAUCUUUUUCGCUUUUGUGAGGAAAACCAGGAAAUUUUUACACUGAGAUUUACCCGGUAAGUGCAGUGCCUACUAAGAAGUGACCAUACUUUAUAGUACUAAAAUAGCUGUUUGGUAAUUUAUUUUGUUUUUUUUAAAUUCAUUUUCAAUUUAAUUUAAUUUAUGCAAGAAUUUAUAAAUGAACUUAAAAUAUUUAUAUAACAUAUUUCGGUGAAUUAUUAAUUUGAUUUAGUUGAUUAAUUGAAAUAUGCUGACCCAAAAUUUUAAAAAACUUCUAAUCGAUCCCUGUCUUUGCUGCUGUUGAUGAUGAUGUUCCUCUUGCAUCCUUUGUUCCUCAAAUCGCAAGAAAGCGGACAAAGAGACUUAUUACAGCAAAACUCUAUUUUGUCUCUUUCCUUAAUAAGAAGACUUAUUACAGCCAAACUGAAGAAGCUUUCUUCUUAGUUUAUCUCCAUCUUAUCUCUUUCCUUUCCUUGAUAAGAAGACUUAUAUAUUAAUGUCUUUGCUUACAGAUUUUGUAUGAUUAUUCAGUAAAUGAACUUAUUUGAGUGUAUAAUUAAAUGGUUCUAAAUUUUCAUUGAAAAUGUACUAAUGAGAAAGUGUUAGUAUAUUAUUAUGAGAUAUUAUCUUUUAGUAAUUUGAUUUCUAUGUAAUUAUUAUAUAUACUCUUGAGACUUAUCAAUAAAAUUUAAGAGAUUACCCCAUCCUCCACCACCACCAGUUCUUCAUUGCUUUUGAAAAGUGCUUUGAAAAGUUUGGUUUAAAAUUUGAGUGUUUAGCAUUGCUGUCAAAAAGUGCUUUUGAGAAAUAAAAUGUCCAUUUUAGAUAUGUUAUUGUCAAGUAACAAAUAUGCAUUUAAAUAAUAUUUAAAUUAGUUAAUAUUAUUAUAUUUUAGUAAGAAUAUAAAAAAUUUAUUAUAACUUGUUGUUAAUAUUUUAAUAUAUGAAAUAUAAAUUUUAAAUAUUUUUAAGCAAUAAAUAAUAAUUAUUUAUAAAAUUUAAUUAGAAUAUAUAAACUAUAUUUUAAAUAUUUAAAUAUAACCAUUAAAUAUUUGUAAUUAGUAUUUUUUUUAAAAUAUUUUUUUUAUUUUUAAUUAAUGAUUUUAACACAAUUGUAAUUAAACACCAAGAAAAAAAAUAAAAAUACCAUGUUAUUGGAGGGAUGAAAAAAUAAUUAAGCACCAAAAGUGCUUUUGGGAGAGGAAAAACUAAAAUUUUUAGCUUCUCCUUUUCAGCUCCUUUUCAGAAGUGUUUUUCAAAAGCAGUUCUGAAAAGCUAAAAAUUUCAGCCAAAAGCAGCUUGUUCUUCACAGCUUUUCUUUCAAAAGUGCUUUUGGAGUCAGAAGUGUUUUUUUUAAGCAAUGAAGAACUGGAGUCUUGAUGUCUAUCAAUAAAAUUUAAGAAAUUACCCUAGUCUUGUCAAAAAGUGUUCAUUUUUAAAAUUUUACGAGAGUGAAGUUACAACAAGCGUGAAUAAGCUUAAGCUUAAAUCAUAUUUUAUGUUGUUAAGACUAUAAUGAAUUAUUUAGUAGACAUGACCUCAUAAACAUAAAAUUGGAUCUAAACUACGUAACCAAUUAAUUUUAUUCAUCAUUUUACUUCUCCAUUACUUUUUUUAAUUUUUAGUGUUUUCUUAAGUUGCAACUAACAUAUAGCUUAACCUGUCAUUCAACACUUUCAUAAUUAUAAUUAUUAAUAAUGUUCUUCUCACCGACUAAUGGCGAAACUAGGGGGGCUGGCAGGGCCUGGCCCUGGCCCCGGCCCCCCUAAAAUGAUUUUUUUUCAUACGAUCCCUUUAAAAUUUUUAAAAUUUUAAAUUAAUAAAGGUAAAAUUACCCUUUGCCCCUUUAAAAAUAUAAAAAAUUGAUUUUUUUUCUAUCGUAAAAGUUACAAUUUAAUUUUGGCUCUCCCUAAAAAAAUUUUCUAGUUUCGCCCCUGUCAUCAACCUUAUGUUAAUAUUAAAAAAAUAUAUAUAUAGAUCUAAUACAUUUGUUUAAUUUUUUUAUAACAAAUAAUUAAUAAAAAAUAAUUACAACUGUGUUAAUAAAACUUUUUUUUUUAUCAAAAUAGAUAGGUUUCAAGUUUCUUUAGGGUAAAAAUUUAUUAAUCAAUAUAAAGUGAUUAGAAUUAUUUUAUUUUAUUAAUAAUAUUUUCAUUAUUAGUGUUACGAUUACUAACUUCGAAUGCAUACUAAAUUACACUUAUAAACAUGUAUUACUACAACAAAGAUACAUACAAAUUAUUCAUUUAAAAGUUCAAAAUAACCUUAUUUUUAAUGCAUUGAUAAUACAACUAAUUUAUUUACACCCAUUUUGUAGAUAUUAAAAUAAUAAAAAAUAUGGAUGUGCAACAUUUUCAUAUUUUUUUAAUUAUAUUUAAUUACAAUGAUGUUAAGCAUGAUUUGAGUUCUUUAUAAUAAAUAAUUAAAAAUAUAUACUCACGUGCAAUGCAGGUGAGUUUGAAACUUUCCAAGAAACUUUUGAAGAAAUAAAAAUAACAUUUUAGUUAUUAUUAUUAUUAUUAUUAUAUUUAGAAGUAGAAAAGUGUUUUAUUAAGUUUGAAAUUACCGUCCGUUGGAAUUCGUGUUGCUUUUGUUACUAUUUAAAUUACUUAUUCAAUUUUGACUUAGACUUAUAUUUUAAUAAUAUAUAAAAUUACUAAUUGAGUCUUAUCUAAGUAGGUAUUGAUAUUGUAUCGAGUGCAAGAAAACAUGAGUUUGAAUACGUUGAAACACGCUAUUUUCUUAUUUAAGGGUUGGGAGAGACUAUAAGUAAUUUUAAGCAUUGUAUAAAAAAAACAAAAAUUAAGAAUAAUAAACACAUAAACUCGUAAAAAAAUUAUUGAAAAAAAUACAAAUGAUAAAUUUGAAAGUUCUUUUUAUAAUUGUUAUAGAAUUCAACAUCGUAUGUUCAUAGAAUUUUCAAAGGAAAAAUAAAAAACGUUGUCAUCAAGUUUGACCAAAUCAAGAUUCUACAUGCUAUUUCAUCCUCAUGGAAUUCAAUUAAAUCAAAACCAAAUAUUUAUACAUACAAUUAACGUUGAAAUUAACACUAAAUUAUACAUUACACACUAAAUUAACGUUGAUAUAUGAAUAUAAUAUUAACCCUUUUCAAUAAAAUGGAAAAUAGAAAUUGCUGUUAAAUUCUACCCCAUAGAAAAUAAUGACAAACCAAAUUUGAAGAAAAAAGUAAAUUUCUCCUUGAAUAAUAUUGGAGUUCAAACAAGGUGGCUGGAAAGUAUUAUCCAAAUUUCUUAUUUUGCAGAAAUAAGCAACGAAGUUGUAACGCAAUCAAUAUAAUAUAUUAUCAAUAAGUAUUGUCGAUUGAAUCUUAAAUCGAUUGAUAUUAAUAAUGUUUUAGGCAUUAUACCAAAUAUAUAUGUCAGUAUAAGAGUCAAAAUAUAUUUUAGCCCGAAAAAAAUUAAUAGUGUAGAGCCGUAGUCCACAAUACUGACUUAUUUUGUUUUCAUUCAACCCUCAAUACUGACAUCACUACAGAAGAAAACAAACCAAAAAUAUUUAUAAAGUUAAGAAGAUGAGUUUUAACUGGAAGUGUUGGGCAGGUUGGUGCCGGCAAUGGAACACCAUUGUUCUGGUGCUGCCAUUCCUAUAUCCUUUGGGGCCAACGUAAGAGAUUGAAGAAGCCCCCAUAAAAUAAUGGUUUAAUAUUGGACUUUUAGUCCAAAUGAUAGUAGUAAUAAUCAUCAUUUAUGUCCUAAUAUACGGUCAGUCCAUAUUUGGAAAGAUAGAUUCCGCUGCCUUGAAUUGACUACACUACACAGUGACGCACAUGGCAGACCCCAAGUGUCCCCUCCCACCAGUUUUUUUUGGGCAAAUUACACAUAAAAGCCCUAUUUUUUUAAAAUUUACCGAAAUGGGCCCAGUAAAUAACUAUUUACCUGAAUGGGCCCAUUUCCCCGAAAGCACGUCCACGUCAGCGCGAUGUCAGGGUACGUGACAGGAAAACGCUCCCUCAAGGAUGCGUUUUGCCCGUUUUUGGGUUUUAAAGUUUAGGGUUUUAGGGUUUAGGAUUAAAAAUUAAAUAAAUAAGGGAUUAGAGUUUACAGUAGAGGUGUUCAUGUGUCGGGCAGGGCCUGAUUCGGGCUAGGCCCAAAAAAUUUUUGGCCCUCUUCCUAGGCCCGGGCUCGGCCCAGCCUAAAAUAUGGGCCUAAAAUUUUGUCCAGGCCCGGUGCGGGAAAAAGUUUCUAAGCCCGAGCCUGGCCCGCCCAGACCCAUUUUUAAUAAACACCAAAAAAUUACUUUAAAUAUAAAAAGAAUAAAAAAUAUUUUUAAAAUAUUUUAAAAUUAAAGAAUAAAAAUAUUUAUUUAUUAUAUAUUCGGGCCGGGCCGUUUCGGGCUCAAGCCAAAAAUGUGGUGCCCGAGGCCCAGCCCGUUUUCUAAAUGGGCCUCGCUUUUUUGCCCAAACCCAUAUUUCUGGCCUAUAUUUUUACCUAAACCCUCCCAUAUUUUUUGCCCGGCCCAUGAACACCUCUAAUUUAGGGUUUGUCAAUUAAAUUAUUAAAAAAAUUCAAAACUGGAUUAGUUUUUCGUGUUUAUUAUUUUUUAAAAAAAAAUCAAUUAAAUUAGGGUUUACGGUUACUUGAGUAAUUUAAUUAAAAAUAUUUUCAAAAUUAGAUUAGGAUUAGGGUUAGGGUUAGGGUUAGGGUUAGGGUUAGGGUUUAGGGUGUUUUUAAGUUAAGGGUUUUUAAGGAAAAAUCAAAUAAAUUAGAGUUUAGAGUUUAGGGUUUGUCAAUUAAAAUAUUUAUAAGUUUUUUGAAAUUGGAUUAGUUUUCGUGUUUAUUAUGUUUUAAGAAAAAAAUAAUUAAAUUAGGGUUUAGGGUUACUUGAGUAAUUUAAUUAAAAAAUUUUAAAAAUUAGAUUAGGGUUAUGGUUUAGGGUGUUUUUAAGUUAAGGGUUUUUAAAAAGAUCAUAUAUUAUUUAUAUUUUUUAAAUCGAAAAUUGGUACAAAUAUUUAAAAUAUUAACUUAUUUAAAAGAAAAUCUAUUUUAUUAAAAAUAUUAAAGUAAAUUACAAUUACUUUAUUCAAAACAAUAUUUUAUUUUAUUAAAUGAAAUAAUAUAGAAAUAUUCAACAUACUUAUUUAAAAGAAUUUCUAUUAUAUUAAAAAUGUAAAAGUAAAUUUCUAUUUUAGUACGAAGUGUACAAAUAUAGAAGAAUUUCUAUUUUUUUCACAUCAAAUAACAUCAAAAUAUUCAAAAUGUUUGUACAAAUAUAUUAAAAUAAAAAUCAAUCUUUGUGCACGCCAGAUUUAGUGCCACAUGGCGGCCGUCGAUGGUUACGCGCUGGAUUCCUCCUUUGUCUAGCUUUCGGCAGGGUUGUGGUUACUCCAGCGAGGAUUCUGGUUCCUCCGAUAGGGUAUCUGGUUGUCGGUGUUGGGACGAUAAGCCACCUUGAUAGAAUAGUGACUGUGGAGGUGUUUGCAUCACCAACGGCGAAGCUGUUUGAAACCCAUACGGUGAUGGAGAUUGGUAAAAAGAAGAGCUCCCUGACGGCCCCUCUUGCGAUCCUUCGUGCGACGCAGGUAUAUACAUCGGCGGUCCACUCGGCGUAACGGAAAAUGGAGAUGAACCGGACCAUGGACUCUAACCUGCCAUAGGACUCGGAAAAGGAAACAUAUAAGGGAUAGGAUAUAUAAAAGGGUUAGGAUACGCACCUAGCAUCAUCGGAAAAGGCUGUGCCGUGGGCAUCAUCAGUUGAACUGCUGGGUCGGGUGACUGUGUCGGUGCUCUCGCUGGGCCUGGUGAUUGAAUGGCCGUUGAUGAUGGGCUGGGUGAAUGUCUGGGCCUCGUUGAUGGGCCUGCGUCGUCGUCCCUUCGUCUUGGAUUUAAAGGCCCACGUCGUUCCCUUUGGACAUGUAAUUGCAGUUGCCUCUCCUCUGCCGACAGUAAAUACAGCUUGCCAUGGAUCCUAAACCAUGGCAUGUAUUCUGGCACGCACGCUAACUCUGGAACGAUGACCGGUUCCUGAAUAGGCAUAUAAUCAUACCGAUCUUCCUACAUUUGGAUGUAGUACAACCAAAAUCUCAGCUAAUCUGUAUGCAAUUGUCGUAGGUCGAUUUUGUGAUGAUCAUCAAACACCUCAGGUGCCACGGGAAUCGGUUGUCUACAUCCAAAUUGCCGUAAUACUUUGUCUGACUGGUGCAUCUCCACGGUCACAUAGUUGACCAAUAGUACUUUCGCAUGCCAAGCAUUCUGAUUUUGGAGGUACUCAUCCGGAAUUACUGCCCGAAUUGUUGGAUCCUCGUAUGGUGUCCAUUGAAACUAUAUGAACAUGAUGGAAAUAUUAGUUGUAUACAUAAUACAUAAUAAUAUAUACUAAAUACUAAAUGCCAAUCAACUAGCUCAUGAUGGAAAUAUCAAUUUUAUUUAAUACUUACUUGUACUUCCGACUGUUGGUCUAAUAGAAGCCGUAUAUCUUCAAGAGAGGUAGGUAAUCGAGCAUAACUUGCCGGAUGGUUCCACCUAAUUAAAUAAAUUUUUAGCAUACUAUUAUUUUUAAAAUCUACAUAAUAAUUGUAAAAUCUAAUAUAAAAUUUACCUCAUUAUGAGUGGGAAUGUAUAUGGGUGGUCCACUCGAGGACAUAAAAAUGGAAAGCGAAACCGUGCCCAUGACUGCAGUAGUGACAGGCAACCUCCGAUUUUUACUUUACUCGGUCACGUCACCCCACACAUCUCCUGAUAUAAUGUUGCCAACACGGCAGACCCCCAACUCAAUUCACUAGUUACUCUAAAAUCAACGAGUUUCAGCAGCCAUCGUAGAUGUACGAGGUUCCGUGACAAGUCCGGCAUCAGAUAACCUCUAAUUAUCUGAAGAAUAUAUGCCCGAGCAUAUCGGAUUCUAUCUACUUUGGUUGAAUCAUCAUCUAGAUCCGGGAAUGUGUCUCGUAACUAGCCCAUCUCGAUCCGACCUCCGUUAAUUUUCUUCGGAAUAGCUCCCAAAAUCUCGUAGUACACUGCUCCUCAAUCGCCAGAUUGAACAUACCCGGUGACUAGGUACCCAUCCACCGGUAAUCCCAAUUGCAGAUUGACAUCUUCCAAAGUGAUAGUGCACUCUCCACAUGGAAGAUGGAAUGUGUGCGUCUCAGGUCUCCACCUCUCAAUCAACGCACUGAUAAGUUUCGAGUCCAACUUGUAUCCUCGGCCUACCGUCGCCACGUGCCAAAAACCCGCUUCCCGCAGGUGAUUCUCUACCAACGGUGAUGGAGGAUCAUGCAUAUUAUCGAUAUAGCAUUCCAAUAUCCGAUCUAUAGACUUUUAUAACAAAUAAUAAAUUAAUAAUUAUUUAAAAAUGCAUAAAUAAAAAAAUCUUAAAUAAUAUUUAAAAAAUAAAUUUAACACUUACCAUUUUCAUUUGUUCGACGGAUAUGUGCUUGUUAUCAAGACGAAUCAAUUCUCCGGCCAUUGCUAAAUUCGUACAAAUUUUUACAAUUUAAAAAAAUUUAAAAAAAAUAGAAUUUUUUAAAAAUAAUUAAAAAAUAGGGAUUUAAGAGAAAUUUGAGAGCAAAUUGAGAGGACAUUGAGGUGUUGUUGAGAGAAUAAUAGAGAAAUGAUUAAUUUCUGGAAAAAAAAAUGAAGGGGUGGGGGUUUUUAUAGUUUUUUUUACCGUUGGGGAGUUCACCAACAGUCAAAAAAUAGCCGUUGCACUGUUCACGAGCGGGGAAAACGCGUCCCUAGGGACGCGCUAAUGUGGCAGGAAAAUGCGUCCACGUCAGCGCGCUUUCUGUCCAUGUGGACAAAGCGCACCCUUGAGGGCGCGUUUUGUUGCCUUGUCAGCAGAUAGCGCCUUGACGUGGACGCGUUUUCUCGGUAUGGGCCCAUUCCUGUAAAUAAUUAUUUACCGGGCCCAUUUUGAUAAAUUUUAAAAAAUAGGGCUUUUUUUACAAUUUGCCCAAUUUUUUUAAUAACAAAAUAACAAGUACGCCAUGCUUUAUUAAUUCUCUUUGUUAUAGUUUCUUCAAAAUUUCCCCUCUAACCAUGGCAUAAAAUAAUAAUAAUUUUUACCUAUUUCAUUUUCUUUUAAGGUGAUUAAUAUUUGUUUUCAUAACCAGGUUAAGUUGGGUAUGUGUUAAUUCGUGUUGAAAUCAAUUUUUUAGUCCGGUUGAAUGGAACCGUUUCGAUUCUUUAUUUAAUCAGUUCAAAGUCUUUUAAAUUAGUACUCCAAUCGACUCUUGAUUCAAUUGAUUUAGAUAAUAUUAGGACAAAUUAAUUUAAUGUUAUAGAGUGUAUCAUAAUUACUAAAACAUAUUUUUAGAGAACUAAAACUUUUAAAAAUAUCAUAAAUCAUAAACUCGUUUGUUUCACAUCAUUUGAUAUUAUAGAAAAUUAAAUAUAGUUGUUUUAUGUUGAAAGUUAAAUAUUGUACGAUAUUCAUAAAAAUAAAAGAAGAUAAAAACUAGUUUAACUAAUUUUUUUAAUCUGGUUCGUACCAGUUUCUCCUCAAUUGGUUUGAAGCCUUUCUCUAAACAAUAUUAUGCCUAUCAAUUCUCGGUCUAACCGAUUUGACAGACUAAUUUAGUUCAAAUAAAUAUGAUAUUUUGAAUUUUUUUGAAGUGGAGAAGAGAAUGAGAUAAUAAAUUAAAUUUAUUUUUAAUUAAUAGAAAUUAAAGGAGAAUUGAAAAAAAUAAUUUAAAUUAUUUUUCAAUACGUGUGGUGUAAUAUGAUUGGUAGUUGAAACAUGUGGUAUAAUUUGAUUUGUUGAGAUGAAAACUUAACGAGUGUUAGUUAUAUACUAAAAAGAAGUACCAAUUUAACUUACAGUUUGUAAGUUUAGGUAUUUGUUAGGUCCAAAAAAAGCUAAAUGCCAAGUAGGUACAUAUUGCCAAGUUUAAUAAUAGUAUAUUGUUGCUGAACGAGUGUGUGUGCUUAACUUAGCUGGUAGCAGGAUCAACCGAAAAGUACUAAAAUGCUGUUCAUAUAGAAUAUAAGUUACAUUGCAGUGUCGGCAUAAAAAAAAUAUUAUUUAUCCCCGACCCAAUCAACAAGCUAGAGGUGCUCAUGGGCUAGGCCGGGCCUAGAAAAAAUUUUGGCCACGUCCUAAGCCCGGCCCGAAAUAUGGGCCUAAAAUUUUGUCUAGGCCCAGCUCGAGAAAAAUUCCUAAGCCCGAGCCCGGUCCGGCCCUUUUUUAAUAAACACUAAAAAUUUAUUUUAAAAAUAAAAAAUAAAAAAGUAUUUUAAAACUAUUUUAAAAUUAAAAAAUAAAAAUAUAUAUUUAUUAUAUUCGGGCAGGGCCAGGCCCGGCCAAAAAAGUGGUGCCUCCUGAGGCCCGGCCUGUUUUCUAAACGGGUAUCUUUUUUUUGCCCAAACCCAUAUUUUGGGCCUAUAUUUUUACCCGAACCCUCCCACAUUUCGAACGGGACGUCGGGCUGGGCCGGGCCGCCUAGCCCAUGAGCACCUCUACACAAGCAAUAAUUACACAGUGAUGAACUUUGGUGCUGACCAUCGGAGUGUCGGCAUUGCCCAACAUUAUAGAUUACAGGUCAUUUUCGUUAUAGGUUUUGAAUCUAAGUCAUUUUCGUAAAUAAAAAAUUUUUCGGGUCAUUUUUGAAAAAAAAAGUCUUACUUAGAUCUUUUAAUUUCCUUCAAAUCAGUAUAUUAUGAGUGCAAAAUAGAGGGUUGUAGCUCAAAUUAUGAUAAAAAUACUAAAGUUACAGUAUGUGAAAGUCUCAGCUGUAAAACUUGCCAAAAAUAAACUUUAAACUUUUUUUUCUCAAAUUAUUCCCUAAAUUAAUAAUAGAUAAAAUAUAAGUAUAAAUAAUAUAAUUAUUAACAAAACUAGCAUAAGGUGAAAAAUAUGACUGAUAAAUAGAGAAAUUGGACAAUUAUCAAUAGUUUACGAUUUUCUUUUGUAUAGCUCAAGAUUAGUUGUGGGAAUCAGGUGUAAAGGGUUCUUUUUACCCAUAAUGAUUCCAAAUUUACCAGAAAGGUCAACCUUUUCGUCUUGGGGCAAUUUCCACUCAAAAGAAUGCAGCAAUGGGGCCAAUAUGAAAGAUAACAUCUUCUCCCCCAAGUUAAUGCCUGGACACUUUCUCCUUCGGGACCCGAACGGCAAAUAUCAAAAAUCAUUUCCACGGAAAUCUAAUUUUCCAGGCUCAUUUAAAAACCUCUCAGGUUGAAAUUCCAUAGGAUUGUCCCAAAUAUUAGGGUCCCUGUGAAUGGAGCACGUAUUUAGGAACACCCUACUACCCUUUGGUAUGGUAUAGCCACCCACAGUGAGCGAUCGGGCUGAACAUCGGGGAACAAGGAGCGGCAACACUGGAUGUAAUCGGAAGGUUUCCUUUAUCACUGCAUUUAGGUAUCUUAAAUUAGGCAAGUGAAACUCUUCAACAGUAUUGUUUACCCCAAUGACAUCAUUUAAUUCUUCCUUCACUUUCUCCAUUAUUUCUGGAUGUUGCAUCAGCUCUGACAUUGCCCACUCUGUUGAACCCGAAGUAGUAUCUGUUCCAGCCACCACAAUGUUCUAAUUUAAAAUACGUUAGCACCCAAAACAAAUAAAAGGAAGAAGAAAAAAAUAGGAUAGUUAAAAACAUAGAAACUUACUACUAGGAUACCCUUGAUUUGAUUCAUUGUAAGUGAUGAAGGGCUAUCUUGGUUCUUAUGUAAAUCCAAUAGCAUCUGUAACACAUCAGAUUUUUGUUCACCAGUUUCCUUCUUCAUUCUUUCUUCAAUCACUGAAUCCAAAAAUUCAUUGAAUGAUUGACGGAUUUUCUUCAUUCCCCUCUCAAUGCUUUGUAUGUCAAACCAAGCAAUCAAUGGAAAAAUAUCGGAAAUGUUUGGUUUUCCCAAAAACACCAUUAUCUCUGCAAAAAUCUUUUUGAACUGACUCUCCACGAUAGUCCUUUGCUCUCCUUGGAUUUCGCCUCCCCACACCUUGUUGCCGAUCAAACUGGUUAACGUACGAAAUGCCAAUUCACCGACAUCAAUCAGCUUACCGACGUUUUCAUACACAUCCCCCACCAUUUCCAUCGGAUGCGAGAAUUUUGCGCUUGUGUUUCCAGCUGGGACUGCUGUAAGAGUCGAAUGCAAUAUCAUUAGAGCCGAAGGUAAUAAUCUGCGCAGCAAUGGGAGAUUCUCGCUCUGAAAAGGUUAUAUCAUGGUCACGAACCACUUCUUUUACAAGCGAUGGAGAGCUAAUUACUACGAUUAGCUUGUUUCCAAGCCAAAGUUUGUAGAUAGGACCGUAAACUCCGGCCAACUCCGUAAAGACCAGAUGGAGAUAAUCGAAUCCAAGAAAUGGAAGAUACCCCACUAUUGGCAACCCAAGGGGACCAGGCGGUAAUGGAGCCAUCGGUUUCCUUGCCUUUAGAAAUAGGUACCAGAGCGAAAGCCCCAACAUGGCAACCAGAAAUGGGAAAGCCGCUGGUAAGAAUCCAUCUUUCUGGUUGCCACCAUUCAACAGCCAUGAAAGCAAGCUGUAAGCUGUUUGGAACAUCUUUUUCGCUUUUGUGAGGAAAACCAGGAAAUUUUUACACUGAGAUUUACCCGGUAAUUGCAGUGCCUACUAAGAAGUGACCAUAAUUUAUAGUACUAAAAUAGCUGUUUGGUAAUUUAUUUUGUUUUUUUAAAAUUCAUUUUCAAUUUAAUUUAAUUUAAUUUAGUUUAGUUUAGUUUAGUUUAAUUUAAUUUAAUUUAAUUUAUGCAAGAGUUUAUAAAUGAAUUUAAGAUAUUUAUAUAACAUAUUUCGGUGAAUUAUUAAUCUAACUAAUUUGAUUUAGUUGAUUAAUUGAAAUAUGCUGACCCAAAAUUUUAAAAAACUUCUAAUCGAUCCCUAUCUUUGCUGCUGUUGAUGAUGAUGUUCCUCUUGCAUCCUUUGUUCCUCAAAUAGCAAGAAAGCGGACAAAGAGACCUAGGCCUCCUUUGGUUUGGCUUUUAAUGCCAGUGAGGUGCAGUUGGGGUAGAUAAUUGCUACCAACCUCACUGCUAUGCUGUUUGGUUCAGCAUGACAGUUCAGUGAAAAUGCAUUUCCACCAUGAUGAUAUGUUGAAAAUUAAUUGGAGAUUUUAGCAGCAAUUAAAAUCUACUGGGGCAGUUGGUAUUUUUAACAGACAAAAAUACCCAUAUUUUUAUUUAUUAUUUUACCAUUUUAUCCUUGAAAGUAAAUUAAUUUCUUUCCCGUUUAUAAUAAAAUAUUAGAAGAUACAUUUUAAUAUUUUAUUAAAUUAAUUUAUAAAUUCACAUAUUUUAAUAAUUUUAUAAAAGUAAAAUAAUUUAAAAACUUCUAUUAUAUAUCAAUUCUAAUAUGAUGUCCUUAAUAGUAAUUUUUUAUUCUCACAUCACCGCUACAGCUGCGUCUGAAUCCAAACACACACUCCACCUUUGUUUCUAAUCUCACUGCUACAGUAUCCAAUCUCACCGCUACAGUAACUAAUCUCACCGCUACCGCUAUUUUUAACCUCACCAGAGGUAAACACACCGCCGAUCCAAACUAAGCCCUAAUCUAUAUUUUGUCUCUUUCCUUAAUAAGAAGACUUAUUACAGCAAAACUGAAGAAGCUUUCUUCUUAUUUUAUCUCCAUCUUAUCUCUUUCCUUGAUAAGAAGACUUAUAUAUUAAUGUCUUUGCUUACAGAUUUUGUAUGAUUAUUCAGUAAAUGAACUUAUUUGAGUGUAUAAUUAAAUCGUUCUAAAUUUUCAUUGAAAAUGUACUAAUGAGAAAGUGUUAGUAUAUUAUUAUGAGAUAUUAUCUUUUAGUAAUUUGAUUUCUACGUAAUUAUUACUGUAUAUGUAUAUAUAUAUAUAUAUAUAUAUAUAUAUAUAUAUACUCUGAGAUUUAUCAAUAAAAUUUAAGAGAUUACCCCAUUCUUGUCAUGGUAUCUGAAUAAGGUUUUUGAAAAUUUUUUUCUUUUAUCAUUCUAAAUGGCUCGCGGUGAGUGUUCUCCUCCUUCAUCACCACCAGUUCUUCAUUGCUUUUGAAAAGUGCUGCGGAAAAGUGCUUUUGAAAAGUUUGGUUUAAAAUUUGAGUGUUUAGCAUUGCUGUCAAAAAGUGCUUUUGAGAAAUAAAAUGUCCAUUUUAGAUAUGUUAUUAUCAAGUAACAAAUAUGCAUUUAAAUAAUAUUUAAAUUAGUUAAUAUUAUUAUAUUUUAGUAAGAAUAUAAAAAAUUUAUUAUAACUUGUUGUUAAUAUUUUAAUAUAUGAAAUAUAAAUUUUAAAUAUUUUUAAGUAAUAAAUAAUAAUUAUUUAUAAAAUUUAAUUAGAAUAUAUAAACUAUAUUUUAAAUAUAACCAUUAAAUAUUUGUAAUUAGUACUUUAAAAAACUAUUUUUUAUUUUUAAUUAAUGAUUUUAAUACAAUUGUAAUUAAGCACCAAGAAAAAAAAUAAAAAUACCAUGUUAUUGGAGGGGUGAAAAAAUAAUUAAGCACCAAAAGUGCUUUUGAGAGAGGAAAAACUAAAAUUUUUAGCUUCUCCUUUUCAGAAGUGCUUUUCAAAAGCACUUCUGAAAAGCUAAAAAUUUCAGCCAAAAACAGCUUGUUCUUCACAACUUUUCUUUCAAAAGUGCUUUUAGAGUCAGAAGUGUUUUGUUUAAGCAAUGAAGAACUGGAGUCUUGAUGUCUAUCAAUAAAAUUUAAGAAAUUACCCUAGUCUUGUCAGAAAGAGUUCAUUUUUAAAAUUUUACGAGAGUGAAGUUACAACAAGCGUGAAUAAGCUUAAGCUUAAAUCAUAUUUUAUGUUGUUAAGACUAUAAUGAAUUAUUUAGUAGACAUGACCUCAUAAACAUAAAAUUGGAUCUAAACUACGUAACCAAUUAAUUUUAUUCAUCAUUUUACUUCUCCAUUAUUUUUUUUAAUUUUUAGUGUUUUCUUAAGUUGCAACUAAGAUAUAGCUUAACCUGUCAUUCAACACUUUCAUAAUUAUAAUUAUUAAUAAUGUUCUUCUAACCGACUAGUGGCGAAACUAGGGGGCUGGCAGGGCCUGGCCCUGGCCCCGGCCCCCCUAAAAUGAUUUUUUUCAUACGAUCCCUUUAAAAUUUUUAAAAAUUUAAAUUAAUAAAGGUAAAAUUGCCCUUUGCCCCUUUAAAAAUAUAAAAAAUUGAUUUUUUUUUCUAUCGUAAAAGUUACAAUUUAAUUUUGGCUCUCCCUAAAAAAAUUUUCUAGUUUCGCCCCUGUCAUCAACCUUAUGUUAAUAUUAAAUAUAUAUAUAUAUAGAUCUAAUACAUUUGUUUAAUUUUUUUAUAACAAAUAAUUAAUAAAAAAUAAUUACAACUGUGUUAAUAAAACUUUUUUUUAUCAAAAUAGAUAGGUUUCAAGUUUCUUUAGGGUAAAAAUUUAUUAAUCAAUAUAAAGUAAUUAGAAUUAUUUUAUUUUAUUAAUAAUAUUUUCAUUAUUAGUGUUACGAUUACUAACUUCGAAUGCAUACUAAAUUACACUUAUAAACAUGUAUUACUACAACAAAGAUACAUACAAAUUAUUCAUUUAAAAGUUCAAAAUAACCUUAUUUUUAAUGCAUUGAUAAUACAACUAAUUUAUUUACACCCAUUUUGUAGAUAUUAAAAUAAUAAAAAAUAUGGAUAUGCAACAUUUUCAUAUUUUUUUAAUUAUAUUUAAUUACAAUGAUGUUAAGUAUGAUUUGAGUUCUUUUCUUAUAAAUUUUUUUAUAAUAAAUAAUUAAAAAUAUAUACUCACGUGCAAUGCAGGUGAGUUUGAAACUUUCCAAGAAACUUUUGAAGAAAUAAAAAUAACAUUUUAUUUUUUAUUAUUAUUAUAUUUAGAAGUAGAAAAAUGUUUUAUUAAGUUUGAAAUUACCGUCCGUUGGAAUUCGUGUUGCUUUUGUUAUUUUUUAAAUUAGUUAUUCAAUUUUGACUUAGACUUAUAUUUCAAUAAUAUAUAAAAUUGCUAAUUGAGUCUUAUCUAAGUAGGUAUUAAUAUUGUAUCCAGUACAAAAAAACAUGAGUUUGAAUACGUUGAAACAUACUAUUUUCUUAUUUAAGGGUUGGGAGAGACUGUAAAUAAUUUUAAGCAUUGUAUAAAAAAACAAAAAUUAAGAAUAAUAAACACAUAAACUCGUAAAAAAAAUUAUUGAAAAAAAUACAAAUGAUAAAUUUGAAAGUUCUUUUUAUAAUUGUUAUAGAAUUCAACAUCGUAUGUUCAUAGAAUUUUCAAAAGAAAAAUCAAAAACUUUGUCAUCAAGUUUGACCAAAUCAAGAUUCUACAUGCUAUUUCAUCCUCAUGGAAUUCAAUUAAAUCAAAACCAAAUAUUUAUACAUACAAUUAACGUUGAAAUUAACACUAAAUUAUACAUUACACACUAAAUUAACGUUGAUAUAUGAAUAUAAUAUUAACCCUUUUCAAUAAAAUGGAAAAUAGAAAUUGCUGUUAAAUUCUACCCCAUAGAAAAUAAUGACAAACCAAAUUUGAAGAAAAAGUAAAUUUCUCCUUGAAUAAUAUUGGGGUUCAAACAAGGUGGCUGGAAAGUAUUAUCCAAAUUUCUUAUUAAUUUGCAGAAAUAAGCAACGAAGUUGUAACGCGAUCAAUAUAAUAUAUUAUCAAUAAGUCUUGUCAAUUGAAUCUUAAAUCGAUUGAUAUUAAUAAUGUUUUAAGCAUUGUACCAAAUAUAUAUAUGUCAGUAUAAGAGUCAAAAUACAUUUUACUCCGGAAAAAAAUUAAUAGUGUAGAGCCAUAGUCCACAAUACUGACUUAUUUUGUUUUCAUUCAACCCUCAAUACUGACAUCACUACAGAAGAAAACAAGCCAAAAAUAUUUAUAAAGUUAAGAAGAUGAGUUUUAACUGGAAGUGUUGGGCAGGUUGGUGCCGGCAAUGGAACGCCAUUGUUCUGGUGCUGCCGUUCCUAUAUCCUUUGGGGCCAACGUAAGACAUUGAAGAAGCCCCCAUAAAAUAAUGGAUUAUUAUUGGACUUUUAGUCCAAACGAUAGUAGUAAUAAUCAUCAUUUAUGUCCUACUAUAUGAUCAGUCCAUGUUUGGAAAUAUAGAUUCCGCUGCCUUGAAUUGAAUACACUACACAGUGACGCACAUGGCAGACCCCAAGUGCCCCCUCCCUCCCACCAAUUUUUUUAAUAACAAAAUAACAAGUACGCCAUGCUUUAUUAAUUCUCUUUAUUAUAGUUUAUUCAAAAUUUCCCCCUAACCAUGGCAUAAAUAAUAAUAAUUUUUACCUAUUUCAUUUUCUUUAAGGUGAUUAAUAUAUGUUUUCAUAACCAGGUUAAGUUGGGUAUGUGUUAAUUCGUGUUGAGAUCGAUUUUUUAGCCCAGUUGAAUGGGUCCGAUUCGAUUCUUUAUUCAAUCAGUUCAAAAUUUUUCAAAUCAGUACUCCAAUCGACUGUUGAUUCAAUUGAUUUGAUCGAUUGAUUCGAUCCGAUUUAGAUAAUAUUAGAACAAAUUAAUUUAAUGUUAUAGAGUGUAUCAUAAUUACUAAAACAUGUUUUUAGAGAACUAAAACUUUUAAAAAUAUCAUAAAUCAUAAACUCGUUUGUUACACAUCAUUUGAUAUUAUAGAAAAUUAAAUAUAGUUGUUUUAUGUUGAAAGUUAAAUAUUUUUAAAUACAAGUUAAUAAUUUUAAUUUGUAAUGUUAUUCAAUGAUAAUAACUUGUACGAUAUUAGUUUGAAAUUAUCUAUUGCAUCUGAACUGGACUAACAAAUAUACAAAUUAAUUUUCAUUAAAGUAAUACGGCAGUGGCCAUCGACUCUGACUGUUAUGCUGGCGGUUAGCUCUCUCGUUGGACUUGAAUUUCAGCAAAUUACAAGUCUACAACUACGCGCUUUAACUUCAUUAUUUUAGAGAAGUAGACCAUUGGCUCUGUGCUACGUACGUAGUAGGAGUACUAUAAAUUAUGGCCACUUUACAGCAAUAUUAUUGCAGUUCCUGGUUGGUUACCUCUGUGUUUUCAACUUAAAAUUUCUUGGUUUUCCUCAAGAAGGAAGAAGAUGUUGCAAAUAGCUUUCAGCUCGUAUUCAUGGCUGUUGACUGCUAGCCACCAGAAAGAUGGAAUGUUGUUCCCAGUAGCUUUGUCAUUUUUGGUAGCCAUAUUGGGCAUUUCAUUGUGGCACGUAUGGACCAUAAGAAAGCCAAAGAAAGAUAUCGCCCCAUUACCGCCGGGUCCCCGUGGGUUGCCAAUAGUGGGAUAUCUUCCAUAUCUUGGAACUGAUAAUCUUCACUUGGUGUUUACAGAUUUGGCUGCAGCUUACGGUCCCAUCUACAAGCUUUGGCUCGGAAACAAAUUAUGCGUAGUCAUUAGCUCGGCACCACUGGCGAAAGAAGUGGUUCGUGACAACGACAUCACAUUUUCGGAGAGGGAUCCUCCCGUUUGUGCAAAGAUUAUUACCUUUGGCCUCAAUGAUAUUGUAUUUGAUUCUUACAGUAGUCCAGAUUGGAGAAUGAAGAGAAAAGUGCUGGUACGUGAAAUGCUUAGCCAUAGUAGCAUUAAAGCUUGUUAUGGUCUAAGGAGGGAACAAGUGCUUAAAGGCGUACAAAAUGUUGCUCAAAGUGCUGGCAAGCCAAUUGAUUUUGGUGAAACGGCAUUUUUAACAUCAAUCAAUGCGAUGAUGAGCAUGCUGUGGGGUGGCAAACAGGGAGGAGAGCAGAAAGGGGCCGACGUUUGGGGCCAAUUUCGAGAUCUCAUAACCGAACUAAUGGUGAUACUUGGAAAACCAAACGUUUCUGAUAUUUUCCCGGUGCUUGCAAGGUUUGACAUACAGGGAUUGGAGAAGGAGAUGACUAAAAUCGUUAAUUCUUUCGAUAAGCUUUUCAACUCCAUGAUUGAAGAAAGAGAGAACUUUAGCAACAAAUUGAGCAAAGAAGAUGGAAACACUGAAGCAAAAGACUUCUUGCAGCUUCUUUUGGACCUCAAGCAGAAGAACGAUAGCGGAAUAUCGAUAACAAUGAAUCAAGUCAAGGCCUUGCUCAUGGUAAGCUUCUUCAUCUAUCAUACUGCAUAGAUCAUCUUUCUUUUUUAUUACCUUAUUUUCUUGGGAUGCUAAUAAGUUUUUUUUUUAAUCAGGACAUUGUGGUGGGUGGAACUGAUACAACAUCAACCAUGAUGGAAUGGACAAUGGCUGAACUAAUUGCAAAUCCUGAAGCAAUGAAAAAGGUGAAGCAAGAAAUAGACGAUGUUGUCGGUUCGGAUGCCGCCGUCGAUGAGACUCACUUGCCUAAGUUGCGCUAUCUAGAUGCUGCAGUAAAGGAGACCUUCCGAUUGCACCCACCGAUGCCACUCCUUGUACCCCGUUGCCCGGGCGACUUAAGCAACGUUGGUGGCUAUAGCAUACCAAAGGGCACCAGGGUCUUCUUAAACAUUUGGUGUAUUCAGAGGGAUCCACAGCUUUGGGAAAAUCCUUUAGAAUUCAAGCCUGAGAGGUUCUUGACUGAUCAUGAGAAGCUCGAUUAUUUAGGAAAUGAUUCCCGGUACAUGCCGUUUGGUUCUGGAAGGAGAAUGUGUGCCGGAGUAUCUCUCGGUGAAAAGAUGUUGUAUUCCUCCUUGGCGGCAAUGAUCCAUGCUUAUGAUUGGAAUUUGGCCGACGGUGAAGAAAAUGACUUGAUUGGCUUAUUUGGAAUUAUCAUGAAGAAAAAGAAGCCUUUAAUUCUUGUUCCUACACCAAGACCAUCAAAUCUCCAGCACUAUAUGAAGUAACUUUACUAUUGUAUUUCUUUUAUACCACUUUAUUUCCUCUUUGUCAUGUUUAGGCAACAAUUCUAAGUAAUAAGUUUGGCUAUAUGGUGAAGAAUAAUGUGUUUAUUAUACAUCAUAAGCAAUGAGCUCUUUCCCGACCCUAGAGCAAUACAAUGAUACUGUGUAUUAAGUGAAAUCAACAAAUUUUUAUUCUAAAAUGCAUUUUUGUGCUCAAGAUUUUGAAUUUGCUUAAAUUCUUACUAUUCAACUCGAUUAUAGAAAAUUAGGUACAAUAUCUAAAUUGCCCAUAUCCUCAUAAGUUCUCAGCUAGUUGCCCUAUAAAGGACAGGCGUGAUGGUGAUCUCAGUGUGCAUCGAAAGCCUACAGGCGAACAUGAACUGGAGGUGGUUUCGUGGUAAAUGUCAAAGCUAUGAAAAGUUAUUGGAUGCUUUCUUACCUCAAAAGAGAAGUGAAAGGAGUUUAUAAGGUUUAACCACAGUUACAAAACAAGAAAAACAAAGAUUAAAGAAAACCAAAUCCUUUCCUCUUCUCUACAUUAGGGACCUCUCCGUGCCAGUACGAAAUCUCAGAUCACAUAUUAAAACGAUAAACUAGAUCAAAUCCAAGACAAUCACUCAUCUACUAGAGAAUGAAUAAGACCUUCUAGCUGCUCAAGACAUCUGUUUCAUGACACUCAGCUAGGAUGAUUGAUGUUUUGCCUCUGUCCCCACAACCUCUUGAACCACCGUCGGAGCUUCUUCGAUCCACCAGACAUCAUGUUUUCGUCGAAAUCCUUCAUUGGCUAGUAGGUGGGCUACUCGAUUUCCCCCUCUUUAUAUGUUAGAACUUGAUUCUGUUGAACAUGGACUGUAAUGCAACAAAAGGCCAGGAAGCAGACAAGCAGCUGCAGCAGACCAGCAUUCGAGUAGGACCAGAAACAGCUUGGUUCUUUUGUUUACUUUUGAUUAUUUUGUAAUGCUAUCAAAGCUUGAAUGUAACUAGACCUUAGAGUUGUUAGGAUUUGAAUUUGAUAAAUGUAAUGGCUGAAUUAUUCAACUCUUUAAUUCGUAUUGUUUUGUAGUGCAACUUGCUAAAACUGAUGGGAGCAGUUACAAAUGUUAGGUAACUGUCAUACUUUUUUUGUAACACCAUAUAUUUCAAAGUUUCAAUGAGAAAACUGAUUUUGCUUCAUCGGUUACUAGUUGUUCUUAGUCUUCCAUCUUUUUCAUUGUUUUUCUUUGCUGUUUAUGCUCUAUGAAGUUUCAUUUUUCUUUGUUUGCUGCUACCAUUGUUCCAACAAAUGGUAAUCAGAGCCUCCUAUCUUUGAGGACCUCUGCUGUUUAAGUUUUAGUUUUCAAAACAAAGUCAGAAUCAUGUUUGCAAAGUCAGUUUCAGCAGCAUGAGUUUUGCUCCUCCUCCACCACUAAUUUUUUCUGGAGAUAACUACCACAUUUGGGUAGUCAAGAUGAAGACAUAUCUCCAAGCACUUGACCUCUGGAGUGCAGUUGAAAGUGACGUCGAGCCACCAUCAUUAAGAGCAAAUCCUACCAUUGCUCGGAUCAGACAACAUGGUGAGGAACGAGCCAAGAAGCACAAAGCUAUAGCCUGUCUGCAGAAUGGUGUGUCUGAUGUUAUCUUUACUCGCAUCAUGGCCUGUGACUCUCCUAAGCUGGCAUGGGACAGGCUGAAAGAGGAGUUUAUGGGAUCAGACAAGACCAGGUAGCAACAAGUCAUCAACCUGAGAAGGGAGUUUGAAAAUUUAAAAAUAAAGGAGUCAGGAACUAUUAAACAGUAUUAUGAUAGAAUAAUGGCUAUUGUCAAUAACAUAAGACUCCUAGGAGAGGAUUUUAGUGACAGUAGAGUGGUUGAGAAGGUGAUUACCACUCUUCCAGAGAUAUUUGAAUAAAAAAUCUCCUCACUGGAGGAUUCGAGGGACCUCACAACCAUUUCAUUGUCUGAAUUGGUUAAUUCUCUCUAUGCACUCGAGCAGAGGAGAGCUAGCAGAUAGGAGGAGAACCCUGAAUGAGCCUUUCAAGCAAGAGCCAGAGAAGGUUCUAGCUCAAAUCAGAGAACUAAAAAACCUUGGUUUGAAAGAAAGGACAAAGCAAGGAGAGAAGCAAACAGAGAAGCAGGCAGAAGGAGGUUUCCACUAUGCAUUCACUGAAAAAAGACCAAUCAUUUGGAGAAAUUUUGCUGGACCAGACUAGACAUACAGUGUAAGAGUUGCAAGCAGUAUGGCCAUCAUGAGAAUAUUUGUAGAAAUCAUGAGAAGCCUUAAGAUCAGCCAGUACAAGCCAAGACUGCUGAGGACAUACAAGCUCAAGAGGAGCAUGUAUUCACUGCCUCAUGUUUUGCAGUCAACAACAAGUGUAGUUGGCUUAUGGACAGUGGUUGCUCACACCACAUGGCUGCUGAUGAGAGUUUGUUUAAGAACCUUGACAGGAGCUAUGUCUCGAAGGUCAGGAUAGGUAAUGGGAACUUGAUUGAAGCAAAUGUCAGAGGUGAUGUUGUGAUCUACACUGGAUUAGGUAACAAAGUCAUUUCUGAUGUUCUCUUUGUGCCAGAAAUUAAUCAGAAUUUGCUUAAUGUAGGCCAUUUAGUCAAGAAAGGCUAUUUUCUAGUUUUCAAGAAUGAUUCUUGUGUUAUAAGUGAUGCUCAUGGUAGGGAGAUAGUCUCAGCACCUAUGGCAGACAAGUGUUUCAUGUUGGAUGUGAGUCAGCUUGAGAAAAGUGCCUAUACAAGCUCAGUUGAUAAUACUGAUCUUUGGCACAAGAGGUUUGGCCAUGUUAAUCUCAAGUCACUCAAUUUACUGCACAAAAUGAGUAUGACAGAGGAGAUGGUGAAGGUUAAUGUAAGUGAAUCAGUUUGUGAGGUGUGUCAGCUUGGUAAAUAGGCUAGGCUGCCUUUUCUAGCAAACCAGGCAUGGAGGGCUCGAGACAUACUUGAGCUGGUGCACUCAGAUGUCUAUGGACCAAUGAAGACACCUUCAUUGAAUGGUAGUAAGUACUUUAUAUUGUUUAUUGAUGAUUUAACCAGAUUUUGCUGGGUUUACUUUAUGAAACAGAAGUCAUAGGUGUUUGAAAUGUUUGGAAAGUUCAAGGCUUGGGCAGAAAAUCAAGCAGGCUGCAAGAUUAAGGCUUUAAGAACAGACAAUGGUUCUGAAUACUUGUCUGAAAGAUUUCAGAAGCUAUGUGAGCAGGAUGGAAUCCAUCAUCAGCUGACCAUAGUGUACACUCCUCAGCAAAAUGGAGUGAGUGAGAGGAAGAACAGGACAAUGAUGAACAUGACUAGGUGUUUGUUGUUCCAAAGCAAGCUUCCAGGCAUUUUUUGGGCUGAAGGUGUCAAUACUUUAGUAUACUUGCUCAAUAGGCUACCAACACAUGCUGUGAAGGACAAUACCCCUUUUGAAGCUUGGUAUAGUCUUAAACCUGUUGUCUCACAUUUAAAAUUGUUUGGCUGCAUAUGUUAUGUACUUGUACCAGCAGAAAGAAGGACCAAACUUGAGAAGAGGUCAAUUGCUGGCAUAUUUGUUGGCUACAGUAGCUGUAAGAAGGGCUACAGAAUAUUUGAACCCUCGACCAAGAAGAUUUUGGUAAGUAGGGAUGUUAAAUUUGAUGAAACAAGGUUUUGGAACUUUGAUGGUUCAGAUACAAGUCAGUUUGAAGAAGAGAAAGGUGAUAGCAACCUGGAAUUGGCAGAAAGUGAAGUCAGUAAUGCCAAUGUUGAUGAUGAUUCUGUGAGAGGGACCAGGUCCAUUGCUGAACCCCAAGCUAUGAAGAGGCUGCUAGAAUUAAGAGUUGAAAGAAAGCUAUGGAGUCUGAGAUCGAUAUGAUCCACAAAAAUGACACUUGGGAUCUAGUGGACAGACUUGAACAGAAGAAAGCCAUUGGUGUCAAGUGGGUUUACAAGGUCAAGUUCAAUGUAGAUGGCUCUCUGAAUAAGCACAAGGCAAGGCUUGUGGUGAAAGGGUACAACCAACAGUUUGGCAUUGAUUUUGAGGAAACUUUUACUCCAGUAGCAAGGCUGGAUACUAUAAAGUUACUAUUUGCCUUGGCUGCACAGAAACAGUGGAAGGUUCACCAGCUUGAUGUCAAGUCAGCCUUCUUAAAUGGCUUCCUUAAAGAGGAGAUUUAUGUUGAACAGCCUGAUGAAUUUAAAGUUCAAGGAAAGGAAGACAAGGUUUAUAGGCUAAAGAAGGCACUUUAUGGUUUGAAGCAGGCCCCUCGAGCCUGGUAAGACAGAAUUGAUGAAUAUCUGUCUAAACUCAACUUUGACAAAAGCUUGAGUGAACCAAAUUUGUUUGUGAAGAAGUCUAAAGAUGAGACACUAUUGAUUGUGUUAAUAUAUGUGGAUGAUUUGUUAGUGACUGGAAGCAAAAUUGAGAUGAUUCAAGAGUUUAAGGAAAAAAUGCAAGUCAUGUUCGAUAUGACAGACUUGGGAACUAUGAGCUAUUUCCUUGGUAUGGAAGUGAGUCAGGUUGAUCAAGGCAUUUUUAUUAGUCAGCAUGCAUUUGCCUUAAAGAUACUCACUAAAUUUCAUAUGGAAAAUUUCAAGCCAGUGAGUACACCUCUGGUUAUAGGACUGAAGUUGAGCAGCUAUGGAAAUGAAGAAAAAGUGGAUGAAAGGGAGUAUAGAAGUAUAAUUGGAUGUUUACUAUACUUAACAGCAACUAGACCUGAUCUUAUGCACUCGGUCAGUUUGCUAUCUCGUUUCAUGCAUAGCUGCAACACAUCACAUUUAAAGGCAGCAAAGAGAAUCCUCAGGUAUGUCAAAAGAACCUUGAAAUUUGGAGUGAUGUUCAAGUCAGGAAGUAAGUUGAAGUUAACUGGCUACUCAGACAGUGACUGGGGAGGUUCGAUUGAUGAUAUGAGGAGUACCUCAGGCUACCUUUUUACACUUGGUUCGGGAGCUUUCUGUUGGAGCUCUAAAAAGCAACAAACGGUUGCUCAAUCAACUGCUGAGGCAGAGUAUAUAGCAGCAGCUGGAGCAGUAAGCCAGGCUAUUUGGCUUAGAAAAUUGUUGUGUGAUUUGAAUAAGGAACAAUUUGAACCUACCGAGAUUAUGGUUGAUAAUCAGUCAGCAAUAGCUAUCUCCAAGAAUGCUGUUUUUCAUGGCAAAACAAAACAUUUUAAACUUAAAUUCUAUUUUGUUCGAGAGGCAGUGCAAUCAAAGGAUGUAAGUCUUGCACAUUGUAGCUCACAAGACCAAUUGGCUGAUAUUCUGACAAAGCCUCUUGGUACUAUGAGGUUUGAAUUUCUUAGAGAAUCAGUUGGUGUUUGUUGCCUACAGUCCAAGGAGGAGUGUUGAACAUGGACUGCAAUGCAACAAAAGGCCAGGAAGCAGACAAGCAGCUGCAGCAGACCAGCAUUCGAGCAGGACCAGAAGCAGCUUGGUUCUUUUGUUUACUUUUGAUUAUUUUGUAAUGCUAUCAAAGCUUAAAUGUAACUAGACCUUAGAGUUGUUAGGAUUUGAAUUUGAUAGAUGUAAUGGCUGAAUUAUUCUGCUCUUUAAUUUGUAUUAUUUUGUCGUGCAACUUGCUAAAACUGAUGGGAGCAGUUACAAAUGUUAGGUAACUGCCAUACUUCUUUUGUAACACCAUAUAUUUCAAAGUUUCAAUGAGAAAAUUGAUUUUGCUUCAUCGGUUACUGGUUGUUCUUAAUCUUCCAUCUUUUUCAUUGUUUUUCUUUGUUGUUUUGUGAGCUUAUACUCUGUUGUGAAGUUUCAUUUUUCUUUGUUUGCAGCUGCCAUUGUUCCAACAGAUUCUUUCAAAGCUCGCAGAAAUUUAUGUCGCUUCCCAGAUAAAUUUACUAGUUAUCAAUUUGUCAAUGCAUGUCGCUUUAAGCUUCUUUAUUACCACCAAGGAGUCGCCUUCUACUUCCACAAACCGGAAACCCAUCUCCUGAGUGAAUCUGAUUGCUUAGGUACUUGCUAAGGCCUCUGCAGUUAGAACAUCAAGUAUGUAACAAUUCCAUAAGCAAGUUGUGUCCAUAAUAAACCCUUCAUUGUUUUUUUAAGAUAAUAAAUGUCCUUAAUCCUUCCAGAUCCUUGUUGAAGCUUACAUCGAAGUUUACCCGAACAAAAGGCUCCAAAGGAGGUCGCCACCCUAUUGACUUUGUUGGCUUAAGCUUUAACUGUUCCCUUGUUAGUGUUUCUAAUUCUCUAGUAUAACCCAAUGUUUCUAAUUCUCUAGCAUAACCCAAUACAAAGGUAAAAGUCUCAAAACUUGUUUGCUGUUUGCUUUCAUGCACCAACCUAUUCCUUGAGAGCUAAAUUGCCCAAAUUGCUACAAUAAUAAUUAGCUUUUGAUAAUUGCUCCUCCCAUUGAAUAAUUUUCCAACCGACUUACCAAAGAGUGCUCUACUUGGCUUAUCACCCAAUUGAUUCCCAAUUUGUACCAAACCUGUAAGGCUAUUGUGCAAUCUAAGCAUGUUUUUAGACUGCAAAGUAAGGGGAGAAUAGGUCUCUUCGAUUGGGUGCCAUGCUAUCUACCAAUUCAAUUCACAAGCUCAUGAUCUAAAUUUGUAGAGAUUUGAAAAUAUAGUUCGGUUGAUUGAUAAUAUAACAUUUCAUUUUACAUCAUAUUUUACCUUAAAAUGUUACCUUAAAUUUUUCUUAAAAAUUACAUUCGUGAAAUUUGAUUUUAAAAUUAAUAUAAAGUAUUUGAUAAAUGCAUUUCACUUUUGUUGUUGAGAAAGAAAAAAAAUAUGAUCCUUUUCUUUUAGGGAAAUAAAUAUACUUAAAAAAAUAAUAAUUCCAUAUGUAUGUAAUUUCCAGUCAAUAAUAUAUUACUAAAAUACAUUUGAUCUUGAUAAUAAUACGAUUUUUUUUCUUUCUGGGAGAUAAAUUAAUUGUCUGCAGCAUUGUUGUGAGAUAGCCAAUCAUGCAAUAGCCCGUACAAAUGGCGAACAGUUUAAAUGCGAAUCACUUAGCGGAUUGUUAAUUAACGAACUGUCUCGUGGACUGACAUUAUGCAGACAAUCUAUAUGAUACAAGUCUGGCGGACUGUCAAGUGAGAACAAAUUUGCGGACACAUGAAGCUGCAAUCUGUAUGACGGGAUUGAAGAAAUGUGGAGUAUAUUCGUGAAAUGUGCCUGCGGACUGUAUCCGCAGUUAGAAUGAAGUUGUUUUGGUGCACGCUACCAGUGAUGAGUGCGUGUUUGUUUUAGAUAAAAUCAACCUUAGUUGGUAGAUUUUUUUUAUGUGUUUAAGUAAUGAUUCACAUAUUUGGUUAAUUUAUUUUAUGUACUCUUGUAAAAUAAUUCAUAUAUACUGUAAAGUUUGAAAAAAUGAAAUAUAGAGCAGACUCGAUAUACUGCUAAUUCUCUGUUUUGCUUUCUUUCUUUGUUCUUUAACACCCACAAGUAUCCUCCUCCAGGCAUGAACUAGGAUGAUAUGGUUAGAGAGAAAGGGAUUUUCAAGUGGUAAUCAAGAUUUCAAGAGGAAGCACUAGACCUGCAAACAGGUAAGUCUUUCUCAAAAGCUGGGGCAGCUCGAAGAAUUGGAUUGCUUUCGAAGAAAUUGACAGGCUUUAGCUCAAACCCUGAUGUCACUGUUGGCAUUACAGGGAAAUCUUCUUGGCAUGGAAUGUGAUGGAAUCCCAAUGUGUACCACAACACGAUAUCCUUAUUUUCAAUAGAACGAUCCCUGUUCUCGAUGGAUUAAAGCAGAAAAUCAGGGUAGAACGUAUGCAUUACAACAAUUGAUUCAUUUAUCGAGUUUUAUACCUUUCAGACCACACAGCAAGAGUGUCAUCUCCCCUACUUUGAUAAGUUAGAAGCCCACCAGCCCAUUGUUCACUCCUGUUAUAAGGAGUCACCCAUAUCUAUUCAAAAAAAGAGCUCAAUAAAGAGUGCAAAAUCAUUAACUCAAGAGCAAAAAAAGGAUAAAAGGGUUUUACCUGGUUGUUGGUGAAGGCGCUUCUUAGUUGUGGAGGAUCAUCAUGAUCAAGCAAACUAGCUGCAGUUCCUCCAGGAACAAUCUUGUAUCCUGUUGGAUUUCCUAGCCUAGACUUUUUAGAAGGAUUAAUCAUAUGAAACUCUGAGGGAUCAUACAAUUUAAGCUUAAUUUGUGCAUCUUUUUCAGUCUUAGCUAUUUUUCUCUUAGCUUUCAAGUAGCUCUUCCUAGGGGAUUCCCCUGGUAAACUCCGUUCCUUAACAAGAUUAACAUUAACAAACGAAUUGUUCGCCCCAUCGAUAUCCAUGUCGAGGUGAAAGGUAACAAAGUGAUCGUGAACUACUCCGAUAAGAUUCUCGGAAAUGAGAGGACCCGACAUGGCAUCUUGGUUAGGCGCUUGAUGGUAAGGACUGCCUUUCACCAUUAGCAUUCCUGAAAGCCCUACCUGUACAAAGUUAAAUCAUACAAAAUGAAUGGCAAACACUAUUGCUGAGGAAGAAGUUGAUGAAAAUUAAUGGCAUAAGGGAAUGACCUUAACAUUUAUUAAACCAUCUGUUUGAAACUCCCAAUCAAAGAUGUAAUCGUAGUUUCCCACUGAUGCUGCCAUACGAGCAACGAGAGUUACUUUUGGUCUUGCCUCCCUAAUCUACAAGUACAAUAAUGGAAAUAGAAAAACAAAUUAAAAUAUGUUUUCAUUGAUUAUAAUUUUUAUAAUGUUUGCAAUCUACUCUCUGUAUUUGAAAAGCUAAAAUCAAGUUCUCUUAAAUUUUUUUACUUUAAAAAUGAUUUAUUUAUGAAGUUGGUAUGAUUAUAGAGCUAGAACGAGCUAGAAUAAAAGUUUCACCUCUGUUAAAUUAAAUAGGAUUAUGUUAAAUUCAUAUUAUUCUUAUGAAGUUGGUAUGGUUAUAAAGCUAUAACGAUGUUAAAAUAAAAGUUUCACCUCUAUUAGAUUAAAUAGAAUCGUGUUAAGUUUAAAUUAUUUUAUAUCUUAAUUAAACAUUAAAAAUAGAUAGAAAUCAACUUUUGAAACAUGUUGCAAGACUCUCGUUCUUAAAAGUUUCUUUUUUUGGUAAAAAAGUUUCUUUUUUUGGUAAAAAAGUGUUUUCUAUACUAUCAAUUAUUUUCCCAUUUACUCAAAUUCAUAUCAAGCAAUAAGCAUACAAUAUAUGACACGUUUUUAAUUGGAUGUUGUAGACAACAUGAGAGGAAUUAUUAUUUAAGUACAUUUUCACCCGAACAACUUUAGUACUUAAGUGAAAAGAAAAAUAUAAUUUGUGGGCCUAUUUCGUAGUUAAGCUUAUUUUAAAAGUAUCAGGGUUUAUUAUUGUUACUAUUGUUGGAGUUAUUAUUACCUGGAAAUCAGUGAGUAGGCCCUCUGAAUGUCGCCAACUGAUGUCGCCGGCAUAGCGCUCAAACAGGCAAAUCAUGUUGGGUUGAACAAAUGGGUUUCCAUCGGGAGUAGCAAAAAUGCCGUUCAUGUAAUAAGAGUGCCUUGGACAAUCAUUUAGUGGCACAAGUGGAAGGGCUGACAUCCCUAAACCAUACUCACCAGCAUCCAUAUACGACUUAAAAUACCAGGACUCAUCAAGGUCCAUGUAUGGUACAAAAAAUUCUGAAGCGAACCCUUUGUACAUCACAUCCCUCAGCUCACCAUUCUCCGAGUCCCGUACCAUGACUCUUGAAAUCACCAAACCAGCGCGGUGGUCAGCCUUGAGGUGAAACACCCAGUUGGCCCACUUCACUAUAUGCCCAUCUUCAACUCUAAAACUUGGUCCUUUUGGUUGUUCUAUGGAAAUUGGGUUCAAUCGUUCCAUUUGUGGUUCCUUCGUUUGAGCUGUGUACCUGUAAUCUGUAUCGGUACUUUUUGGAAUGGGGAUUUCUCGGCCCGUAUCAGAGAAUUUCAGCACCUCCAAUGUAUCCAAGUCCACCGUCAUGACGAGCCCUUCAAUGGGCCUCAUGUAGAAAUUGGGUGUGCUUUCUUUAGAGUAACACAGGACCUUUACAACUCUUUUGCCUUCUUCAUUUGGCCCAAACCAGCCUGCCGAAGGUGGUAAGCAUAUCAAAUCUGAUGAUGGGACCCCUCGGGCGGCAAUGGAUUUGUUGAACUCCGCAUUAGAGAACGGCACUUUAGACGCUGCCAAAAUAUCAUCCACAGAUAGCAUCGGAUAGCCUGAGCUUGAAUUGAUGGCAUGGCUAGUGAUACUGCUAGAAUCCAAGUCCACGGUAAGCACAUGGGACUGGCCAUUCAACAGAGCCAAAACUUGUGCUUUUCUUGGAAGAAGUGCGUCACCUUUGCUCCACUUCAGAACCUUGACCUUGUCUGGUUCAUCGAGCUGUACAGUGUGAAUAGUAGGGAAGGUAAAUGAAAAGGGUUCAUAAGAUGAGAGGAUGGUCCGGACCUUGUUGAUUUCCUGCACAGUAAGAGGGUCCAGUGGAUGAUGAGGGGCCUCAGCUGAGUGGUCUAUCGAAGUUUGAGCUUGUGUCUCCAACACUGAGCUGGCCUUGGAGUUUGAGAAAAUCCGGUUCUUGGAGGUGGACCAUGGAGUUUGCAGUGUGGAAUUAGGCAAUGAUGAAUUGGUAGAACGGUACCAUGAACCUACAACAAUGAAUAAAACUAAACAUGAAAUGAAACAGAAAUGAAUACAUGAUGAUUUUUCCAUGAUCAGAUCAGAGUGGUUGUUUCUCUAAUUGUGAAUUUGUAAUUGAGCUUUUCAUGGCCACAAGAGAAUGUCGCCGUCCCAAUAGAAUUUGUCAUUUAGCAUUAUGGCAUUAAAAACUAUAAACUCUCCCCAUUAUUUAAAUCACCGUAUGACGAUUGUCCAUUAAAAUAUACUGACGGCUAAGGUGAUUAGAAUUGACUAGGUAAGAUAGGAAUCUCCUUUUUUAACCUAAAAUAUUCCAACUUGAUAAUUUUAAAUAUAUGAUUAAUUUUUUUAGUAAGGGUAAAUAACAUUAAAUUGUUAGUAAAUUUAUAUUUUGAUCACUCAAUUAAAAAUGUUACAAAAUAAUCACUAAACUAUUCGAAAGUUUUCAUUUAAAUCACAGAACUAUUUAAGAGUUUUUAUUAAGUCAUUGAACUGUUAAGUGUUUUUUUUUUUAAUCCAGCUAGCUAGCUUCAAAUGGAAAUUUGACGAUCAAUACAAUAGAUUAGCACCCAUAGACGAGUAGAGGAACAUACUUUAGAUCCAAGUCGAUCUAACGGUCAAACUCAAAGAUUAGAGGAACAUACUAGGGAAAGUAAUGCAUAGGUUGACUUAAAAAGUUCAAACCAUCCAAAGAAAAUUACUUAAGUAUAUUUAUCCGAGAAAUUAACAAGGAGAAAAAAGUGGUAAAAGUUUGAAAGGAUGCACCUUCGUAGGACGAAAAACCAUUAAAGAUUGAGAUGAAAGAGAGAAAAUAUACAGAGCUCCCAUGAUAAAAGAAUGAAUUAAGUAAUGUGAUCAGUGACUAAAAAGUGAAAAAAUUAGAAGAAUUCAUAAAAAGAACCCUUUCUCCUAAUUCCAAAAAAUAGAGACAGAGGUGCUUGUGAGAUCCACGUUGAGACUCUGUGCUUAAUUUUUGAGUUUUUUCUCUUUACUUUCUAAUUUAAAUUACUCAAAAAAUAUGUUGAUUAAAUUUUAAUUUGAUUGAUAUCGAUAUUGUUGUCAGUGUAGGAAGAUGUGGGUUCGAGUGCGCUGAAACACACUAUCCUCCUAUUUAGGAGUCGAGAAGGGUAGUUUUAGGAAUUAUAUAAAAAAACAUAUAAAAAUAUUAAAAAAUAUAAGAAAUAUUUAUCUAUUAUCAAACAUGUUGGAACAUUUUCAAAUAUUUGUAGUGUUCCAAUAACUAUAAAUGAAUGGGUGUAAUUAAUCAAAAGUUAUAUUAUUUGAUUUUUUAAAAAAGAAUUAUAACUAUUUAAAUAAUAUUAUUUGAAUAGUUAUAAUAUUAAAUGAAUAAUUAUGUGUUUAUUUUAAAGACAUUAUUAUUCAGAAAGACACCUAUUGAAAUAUGCCUCUAUAAGGAGACAUGACAAUUCCUAUAUAUAGGGAUGAGAUUUCAUUUGAAAAUCACACCAACAAAUUCUAAUAUUCUUUCUUUCAUUCCUUUAUUUUCUAAUAUUAUUAGAUUAUUUUAUAAAGUAUUACUGCAGAAAUCCUUUAUAGAAAUUGAGUUUCUUGUCAUACAUUGCUCAGUGUGUAGUGGCUAUUCUCGUCAGUGCAAAACGCAAAUAGUCAUUGGUUUCAUUGUAUCCUCGAGGUUAAUUUGCUUGGAACUCAUUGGCACACCGAAAAUAAGUGGGGGCGAAUAUAACCUUAAAGAUAGUGACUUGAUACACGCCUUAGAGCCUUGUCCUAUUUCUUCUUUUUCUGUUCGAGUUCCGUUCGUGUCAUGGAGAUUUUCUUCACCAAAGAUUUGUACUAACAAACACAUCUUUUAAAUAAAUGGUCCAGCACAACGUUAAUAUCAUAUCAAAUUUUCAAAUUAAUUCACACAAUAAUAUUCCCUAAACCCCUUAGACUGCUAAAAUGAUUUUUUGGAAUUUACAAUCAACAAUACAUUACUAAAAUACAUUUGAUUGUGAUAAUAAUAUGAUCUUUUUUUUCUCAAAGGUAGAUAAAUUGUAAGAUAUAUUCUAUUGCAGGCAUGGACUGGGAUCUUAUGGUAAGAGGAGCUUUCAAGUGCUAAUCAAGACUUCAAGGGGAAGCACUUGGCCUACAAACAGGUAAAUCUUUCUCAAAAGCUGGGGCAGCUCAAAGAAUUUGGUUGCUUUCGAAGAAAUUGACAGGCUUUAGCUCAAACCCUGAUGUCACUGUUGGCAUUACAGGGAAAUCUUCUUGGCAUGGAAUGUGAUGGAACCCCAAGGUGUACCACAACACGAUAUCCUUAUUUUCAAUAGAACGAUCCCUGUUCUCGAUGGAUUAAAGCAGAAAAUCAGGGUAGAACGUAUGCAUUAUAACAAUUGAUUCAUUUAUCGAGUUUUAUACCUUUCAGACCACACAGCAAGAGUGUCAUCUCCCCUACUUUGAUAAGUUAGAAGCCCACCGGCCCAUUGUUCACUCUUGUUAUAAGGAGUCACCCAUAUCUAUUCAAAAAAAGAGCUCAAUAAAGAGUGCAAAAUCAUUAACUCAAGAGCAAAAAAAGGAUAAAAGGGUUUUACCUGGUUGUUGGUGAAGGCGCUUCUUAAUUGUGGAGGAUCAUCAUGAUCAAGCAAACUAGCUGCAGUUCCUCCAGGAACAAUCUUGUAUCCUGUUGGAUUUCCUAGCCUAGACCUUUUAGAAGGAUUAAUCAUAUGAAACUCUGAGGGAUCAUACAAUUUAAGCUUAAUUUGUGCAUCUUUUUCAGUCUUAGCUAUUUUUCUCUUAGCUUUCAAGUAGCUCUUCCUAGGGGAUUCCCCUGGUAAACUCCGUUCCUUAACAAGAUUAACAUUAACAAACGAAUUGUUCAAACAAGGUGGCUGGAAAGUAUUAUCCAAAUAUCUUAUUUUGUAAGCUUUUAACUUUUGCAGAAAUAAGCAACGAAAUUGUAAUGCGAUCGAUAUAAUAUAUUAUCAACAAGUAUUCUCGAUUGAAUUUUAAAUCGAUUGAUAUCAAUAUCGUUUUAGGCAUUGUACCAAAUAUAUAUAUGUCAGUAUAAGAGUCAAAAUACAUUUUACCCAAAAAAUCUAAUAAUGUAGAGCUGUAGUCCACAAUACUGACUUAAUUUGUUUUCAUUCAACCCUCAAUACUGACAUCACUACAGAAGAACAAACCAGAAAUAUUUAUAAAGUUAAGAAGAUGAGCUUUGACUGGAAGUGUUGGGCAGGUUGGUACCGGCAAGGGAACGCCAUUGUUCUGGUGCUGCCAUUCCUAUAUCCUUUGGAGCCAACGUAAGAGAUUGAAGAAGCCCCCAUAAAAUAAUGGAUUAUUAUCGGACUUUUAGUCCAAAUAACAGUAGUAAUAAUUGAAGAAGCCUCUAUAUAGUCAGUCCAUGUUUGGAAAGAUAGAUUCCGCUGCCUUGAAUUGAAUACACUACACAAUGACGCACAUGGCAGACCCCAAGUGUCCCCUCCCACCAAUUUUUUUAAUAACAAGUACGCCAUGCUUUAUUAAUUCUCUUUAUUAUAGUUUCUUCAAAAUUUCCCCCCUAACCAUGGCAUAAAAUAAUAAUAAUUUUUACCUAUUUCAUUUUCUUUAAGGUGAUUAAUAUAUGUUUUCAUAACCAGGUUAAGUUGGGUAUGUGUUAAUUCGUGUUUAAAUCGAUCUUUUAGUCCGGUUGAAUGGGUCCGUUUCGAUUCUUUAUUCAAUCAUUUUAAAAUUUUUCAAAUCAGCACUUCAAUUGACUGUUGAUUCAAUUGAUUUGGCCGAUUGAUUUGAUUCGAUUUAGAUAAUAUUAGAACAAAUUAAUUUAAUGUUAUAGAGUGUAUCAUAAUUACUAAAACAUGUUUGUAGACAACUAAAACUUUUAAAAGUAUCAUAAAUCAUAAACUCAUUUGUUACACAUCAUUUGAUAUUAUAGAAAAUUAAAUAUAGUUGUUUUAUGUUGAAAGUUAAAUAUUUUUUAAAUACAAGUUAAUAAUUUUAAUUUGUAAUGUUAUUCAAUGAUAAUAACUUGUACGAUAUUAGUUUGAAAUUAUCUAUUGCAUUUGAAGGACUAACAGAUAUACAAAUUAAUUUUCAUUAAAGUAAUACGGCAGUGACCAUCGACUCUGGCUGUUAUCACUACACCAAUAUAGGCUUUUAGCGGCGGUUUUAGCGGCGUUUAGAUGAAAAACGCUGCUAAAGUUAGAUCAUUAGCGGCGCAAAACGAAAAACGCCGCUGAAAAUAAGAAUUAGCUGCGUUUUCCAGAAAGCGCCGCAAAAACCAAAGCCCAACGACGCCGUUUCCGAGCUUUUGGGGAUUUAGCGACGUUUUUAAUCAAGCGCCACUAAUAAUCCUAAGCCAAACGGUGCCGUUUCCGUAGUUUUUGGGAUUUAGCGGCAUUUUUGGGGAAGCGCCGCUAAAAAACCUAAGCCAAACGGUGUCGUUUUCUCAGCUUUCGUGGAAUUAGCGGCGCUUUGACGAAAGCGCCGCUAAUGUUCAGGGAUUUAGCGGCUUUUUAGGAAAGUGCCGCAAAAAAACAUAUGUCCAAUGGCACCGUUUUCAGAUCUUUCGAGGCCUUAGCGGCGUUUUUAAUGAAGCGCCGCUAAUGCUUGGGGGUGCCCAACGGCACCGUUUUCUUAACUUUCAGUGGAUUUAGCGGCGUUUUCUAAGAAAGCGCCGCUAAUGCUUCCUUUAGCGGCGUUUUUCGGAAAGUGCCGCUAAUGCUCAGGGGUUUAAAAUAUUUUAAAAUAUUCGUUAAAAAUGGAAAAAUUAAAAUACUAUUAUUUAAAAUAAUUUUAAAGUUUUUUGGAUACAUUACUGAUUUUUUUAGAUUAUAUAUUAAAUAAUUUCUUAUAUAAUCGUAAAAGAGAUAGUAUUAAUUUUAAAAUAUUGAAUUAAUUAUCUCUAUAGUAUACGGUUUAGAGUUUAAAGAGUAGUCUAGGGUAUGGAUUUAGGGUUUGUGAUUUAAAGUUUAGGGGUUAGGUAUUAUGCUUUAGGGGUUAGGGGAUUUAGGGGUUACGAUUAGGGUUUCAAUGCAUAUCAAAGUGUUAAGUAAAAUCUAUCGUUUUAUUUUAGGUUUUAGGGUUUAAAAUUUAAGAUUUAAUGUCUACGGUUUAGGGUUUAGGGUUUAUGGUAUACUGUUUAUUAAUUUGGGUUAAGUGUUUAUGUGUUAGAGAUUGAGUUUGGGGUUUAAGGUUUGAGUUUAGGGUUUUAGGGUUUAGUUUGAAAAUUGAAGAACAUUUGGAUUUUACUCGGAUUCAUGCCAUUUUGUACUACAACCAUAUAUAUAAUAUAAUAAUAUAAAAUAUAUGUCUUGUACUACACUAACACUGGCCACACGAAUUCCAAAAAAUAUGGUUUAGGUUUACAGUUUAGGGUUUACAGUUUAGAGUUUAGAGUUUUAGGUUUGGGGUUUAGGAUUUAUGAUUUAAGGUUUAUGGUAUAUUGACGGUCGAAUUUUGGGGUUUGGUUGUUGGGUUUAGGGGUUAGAUUUUUAGAAUAUAAAUGUAAAUNNNNNNNNNNNNNNNNNNNNNNNNNNNNNNNNNNNNNNNNNNNNNNNNNNNNNNNNNNNNNNNNNNNNNNNNNNNNNNNNNNNNNNNNNNNNNNNNNNNNNNNNNNNNNNNNNNNNNNNNNNNNNNNNNNNNNNNNNNNNNNNNNNNNNNNNNNNNNNNNNNNNNNNNNNNNNNNNNNNNNNNNNNNNNNNNNNNNNNNNNNNNNNNNNNNNNNNNNNNNNNNNNNNNNNNNNNNNNNNNNNNNNNNNNNNNNNNNNNNNNNNNNNNNNNNNNNNNNNNNNNNNNNNNNNNNNNNNNNNNNNNNNNNNNNNNNNNNNNNNNNNNNNNNNNNNNNNNNNNNNNNNNNNNNNNNNNNNNNNNNNNNNNNNNNNNNNNNNNNNNNNNNNNNNNNNNNNNNNNNNNNNNNNNNNNNNNNNNNNNNNNNNNNNNNNNNNNNNNNNNNNNNNNNNNNNNNNNNNNNNNNNNNNNNNNNNNNNNNNNNNNNNNNNNNNNNNNNNNNNNNNNNNNNNNNNNNNNNNNNNNNNNNNNNNNNNNNNNNNNNNNNNNNNNNNNNNNNNNNNNNNNNNNNNNNNNNNNNNNNNNNNNNNNNNNNNNNNNNNNNNNNNNNNNNNNNNNNNNNNNNNNNNNNNNNNNNNNNNNNNNNNNNNNNNNNNNNNNNNNNNNNNNNNNNNNNCGCUUUAGCUAAAGCGCCGAAAAAUUGUUUAAUGUUAUCUUAUAACGGUGCCGUUUUGUCCUUGUUAUUAGUGGCGCAUUUGAAAAUCGCCGCAAAAGGUGAUAUAUUACCGGCGUUUUAUGAAGAAACGCCACAAAUUUCCUUUAACCGUAACGAAGACGGUGCCGUUUUGUUGUUUUCUUUUAGUGGCGCAUUUUAAAAACGCCACAAAUAUUUAUUACGAGCUGAGGAAACGGCGCCAUUUCCUAUUUUUAUUAGUGGCGCUUUAGCUGAAGCGCCGCAAAAAUGAUGUUAUCUUAUGACGAUGCCGUUUUGUCUGUGUUAUUAGUUGCGUUUUUACUCUAAGCGCCACAAGUUUUACUCUAAAAUGUGUUAAACGACUGCGUUUGUACUGAUAUUAGUGACGCUUAUUGUUAAGCGCCGCAAAUGAUUUCAAUUUCAUAGAAAAACGUCAUCGUUUUUUCCCAUACAUUUUACCGAAACUUAGAGCCCCAAUCGUGACUUAUCCCCCAAAAUCCCAUUCUCCCCCAAAUCCCUAAAUUUCCCCUAAUCCAGAUUUCCCCAAAGCCGACCUUUUGCAACGUUGCCAUUUCCUCUGGCGCAUCACCGUCUCCCUCCGUCGGUCCCCUCUACCCCCAUACAUUUAACCGAAACUUAAACCCCAACUAUUGUGACUUAUCCCCAAAAUCCAUUUCUUCCUGAAAUAUUGAGAAAUUUCCCCUAAUCCACAUUUCCCCAAACCCGACCUCUUGCAACGUUGCUGUUUCCUCUGGCGCAUCACCGUCUCCCUCCGUCGGUCUCCUCUACCGCAACAAUCGGUAAGUUUUUGUGAUAUCUUCUGCUGCAAAAUAUCCGUCUGUACUUGCUUCUUCUUCUUCCUGCCCUAAUUACGAUAUUUUAAAUUGUUGUAAUUUAAUUUAAUUACUUUUAAAGUGUGCAUUAUGUAACAGAUAAGCUAUGUAUACCUCUUGCAUCCGUAAAAAAUGAUGCAUUAGUUUCUGACGAUUUUUUUCAGUUGCAUUUACAUGGCAGUNNNNNNNNNNNNNNNNNNNNNNNNNNNNNNNNNNNNNNNNNNNNNNNNNNNNNNNNNNNNNNNNNNNNNNNNNNNNNNNNNNNNNNNNNNNNNNNNNNNNUUAAUCGGUAUUUUACGGUGUUAAUUAUUUAUUUUAGCAAUACAAAUAAUUAUAUUAAAUAUUAAAUAUCAAUGUUAAACACUGCAGAGGGAUUAAAAUUGGAAUUUUACCUAAAAUUGCCAUUUGAAUUUAGUGUUGUUAAAAUUUAGCCAGAAUAAGCUUAGAAUUAGGUUGGACAGAAAGCAAUGGAAUGGAGCUAUUUUGACCAAUUUAUUUAUAUUUCUAGGUGAAAGCCCAUCAAAUAUUGAAAACUUGACCACUUUCGAAGCUGCGGUUAGAUUCUAAUAACAAGUUAUCAAGUAUAAUAUCAAUUUUCUGCUUUUUGUUCUUACAUUAUGCAAUAUCGUUUUUCAUAACUUGCAUAAUUUGAGCAUCAUUUUAUGAUAAAUUUGAGCUUUGCUUUAUGAUAAAAGUUGCAAAUUGAGGGGAUGUGGUUUUUAAAAAAACAUGAAGCUUUAGGCAAAUGGUUAAGAAAAAAUACGGCCUACUAUUAAAAAAAAGAUGAGCCUUGUUUGUUGAUAGCAGUAGCCAUUGCUAGUGGUUCAUUGUAAAAUAUGAGUGUUUUGAACAUUGUUAUGUAAUGACACAGUUGAGCUUAUAGGUAAUGGCUUAUUUUAAGAGAACCCAAAUGGACUGUCACGUAUUAUCAAAUUGCCGUCAUUCUUGUAAAAAUUAAAUUAUACACAUUUUGUUGGUGCAACAAUAGAUGGUGUGCUUUGCAAUAUAAUUUCAGAUGUUGAGACAUCUUUUUCCAUGUACCUUGUAAAUCGAAAUCUUUUUUACAUUAUACAAGAUAAGGUCACAUUUCAUUGAGACUUCUUUAGUUGAUAAUGUGAUGGCAAUUUCGGCUACAUACUUUUUAAAAAUAAUUAUAUUCAAUAGUGAUCAUUUAAAUCAAAUAUUUAGGGAUAAUACCAUGUUGUGCGAAUGUCAAAGGCACACCUCACUAGCACUGUUAUAUUCACUUUUUUAAUUUCAGUUUACAACUAUAUGAACUAGCAUAAUUAAAAUCAAUCAUUAUAAAUACUAAUUAAAUAAUUUAUUUAACAAUUUGUGAAAUGACAGUAAUUGUUGUUAAAUUAAAAGCAUUAAAGGCAGAUUAACCCUAAAUUUUAAGCUAUAUAUGCUAGUAAAAAAUAUAUACUUGGUCCAAAUAUAUUUAUUUUGUAAUGCCAAAUCAAAGUAUUAUUUCUUUAAUAACAAAAGUUGUUUUGAUAAAUAUAAAAAAAUUAAUUGUAAAUAUAAAUGCCAAGUCAAAGUCUUUUUGAUAAAUUUUAACUUAUUUUGAUCUUUGAAUUAAUAAAAGCUCAAAAAUAUAUCAUAUCAAAACUUGUAUUUUAAUUUAAUACAUAAUUUACAUAACUCACAUAACUUACAAAAGUCACAUACAUACAUAACUUAAUAAAUGGUACAUAGCUUAUAUAACUUACAUAAUACAUAACUUAAAUAAAUACAUAACUUAUUUAAUACAUUACUUACAUAAUAACUUACAUAGCUUAUAUAACUUACAUAACUUAUAUAACUUACAUACUCCAUAACUUACAUAAUUUACUUAAUACAUAAUCAACAUAUAUUAUAUCUUAACUUACAUAAUAACUUACAUAGCUUAUAAUAACCUACAUAACUUACAUAAUACAUAACUUACAUAUCUUUUAUACUAUAUACAUAACUUACACAAUUUACUUAAUACAUAACUUACAUUGAGAAAAAUAUUAACUUACAUAAUAACUUACAUAGCUUAGUUAUACUUAUCCCUAAAUCCUAAAUCCUAAACCCGUGCAAUUUUUUGUCAACGUCAGACUUCAAUAAUUAAGAAAUGGACCGGUCUUAGAUGAAUUUGUCAAGGGUAAGCAACGGCUAUCGAAAUGGAGUAUAGACGUUUCUAAAUUUUGCAUUUCAAUACGCAAGCCAAGAGAACAUGAUUCUUUGCCCCUGUAAAAAUUGUGUCAACAUAAACUGGCAUUAUCGUGAGGUUGUAUAUGAGCAUCUAAUUGUUGAUGGGUUUGUUCGGGGUUAUAAACAAUGGUUAUUUCAUGGAAAAUGCCCGCCUAGUACUUCCUCUUCAAGGAUGGAUGUAACUUAUCCUAAUACUGCUUACAAUCAGUCUGAUAGAGGGGAUAACAUGGAAGGUAUGUUGCGGGAUGCAUUUAAUAUGCACAAUCAUGGUGUCCAGUCAUUCCCAGCGGACUUUGUGGCCUCUGAUGAUUGUAAUAUUGGUGGAAAUGCUUUUACCGAACAGGGAAGUAGUGUACGUCAUAAAGAGCCGAAUGGAGAAGCGGCGAAGUUCUACGCGCUACUUAAUGACAUGAAUGAAGAACUAUAUGAGGGAUCAAAUUUUUCAAAAAUGUCCUUCUGUGUUCGUCUUUUUCAAUUAAAGUGUUUGGGAGGGUGGACCGGAAACUCGUUGACAAUGCUGUUAGAGUUUUUGAGAGAAAUGUUUCCGUUUGCAAAAAUCCCUCGGUCAUGCAAAGAUAUGAAGAAAAUGAUAAAAGAUUUAAGCAUUGGGUAUAACAAAAUCCAUAGUUGCCCAAAUGACUGCAUGUUGUAUUGGGGCGAUCGGAGAAGCCAACAGUGCUGUCAUGUAUGCGGCCACUCCCGUUGGAUAAGUAGAAACACAGAAGAUGGGAACGAUGAUGAAAAUAAUGCACAGUCACGGAAGAAGCCAGUCAAGAUUUUGCGGUAUUUUUUGUUGAUACCAAGGCUUCAAAGGCUUUUCAUGUCGUCGAAGACAGCAGAGUCAAUGACGUGGUAUCAUGAUGGACGAACCGAUGAUGGAUUACUAAGGCAUCCGGCAGAUUCUUUAGCUUGGAAAUCAUUUGACAAUAAAUUUCCAAGCUUCGCAAGCGAUCCUAGGAGUGUGAGGCUUGGGCUAGCAGCUGAUGGAUUUAAUCCUUUCAAGAUCAUGAGCACUGCCUACAGUACUUGGCCAGUAGUGCUUGUUCCUUACAAUCUGCCUCCGUGGAUUUGCAUGAAAUAAUCUUCCCUUAUCUUAUCUAUGAUUAUCCCUGUAGAGAAAGGGCCCGUGAAUGAUAUCGACAUUUAUUUACAGCCACUUAUUGAAGAGUUAAAACAAUUGUGGGCUGGUGUCGAGACAUACGAUGUGCUGAGAAAGGAGAACUUUAAUUUACGUGCAACUUUGAUGUGGACCAUUAAUGACUUUCCCGCUUAUGCUAAUUUAUCCAGUUAGAGUACCAAGGGCCGUUAUGCGUGUCCUUGUUGUGCUGCACAAACAUGUUCGCAAUGGUUGUACAAUGGGAAGAAGUUCUCUUACAUAGGGCAUCGUCGGUGGUUACCGAAAAAUCAUAGAUUUAGAUUUCAGAGUUCUGUAUUUGACGGUACUGAAGAGUUCAGAGAAGCUCCUUCGCAGACCCCUGGCUCUGAAAUCUUGUUCAUGUUGGAAGAUAUGAAUUUCAUUUAUGGGAAGAUGAACCAACCACCAAACACGCAAAGAAAUAGAAGAUCAAAUGAUGAAGCUGAUGAUGACUCUGAUGAAGAGGACGAUCCUAAUGAGGCGGACUUGUGGAAAAAAAAGAAGUAUUUUUUUUAGUUGCCUUGUUGGGAGCAUCACCUUUUACGACACAAUCUUGAUGUUAUGCACAUUGAAAAAAAUGUUUGCGAGAACAUUGUGGGUACAAUUUUGAAUGUCGACGGAAAAUCAAAAGACAAUCUUCAGAGUCAACUUGAUUUAGUCCAAAUGGGAAUCCAACCUGAUCUUCAUCCCAAUCCACUUCCAAAUGGGAAAUAUCGGUUGCCGCCUUCUAUUUUUUCAAUGUCGAAGACGGAAAAAGAAGUGUUCUGCACGGUGUUGAAGGAUAUAAAGGUUCCAGAUGCGUAUGCAUCAAAUAUAUCUCGAUGUGUUAGUGUUAAAGAUCAAAGAUUAUAUUCGCUAAAAUCAUAUGACUAUCACAUCUUGAUGCAAGAUUUACUGCCAGUGGCUCUACGAUGUUGUAUGUCCAAGAAGGUGACGUCUUGUAUAAUUGAACUAUCCAACAUAAUGAAAGCCAUUUGUGGCAAAGUUUUGGAUGUUCAAGAACUUCAGAAGGUACAGGAUCGAGCCGCUUUGACUUUAUGCAACAUGGAGAAAAUCUUCCCACCUUCCUUCUUCACCAUUAUGGUUCACUUGAUAAUCCAUCUCCCGCACGAAGCAAUUCUUGGCGGACCCGUUUUCUAUCGAUGGAUGUAUCCCAUAGAAAGGUGUUAAUUAAAAUUUUUAAAAUUUUCCUUCAUUCACCUCUAUGCCUUUAGUUACAACUUUUGAUAAUGUUGUAUAUUGUGUUUAGGUUCCUAUCCAAAUUAAAGUCUUACUGCCGCAACAAUCGAUAUCCAGAAGGAUCGAUUGCUGAAUGCUACUUAGCAGAGGAAUGUAUGACCUUCUGCUCAAUAUAUUUGGAAGAUGUUGAAACAAUGUUAAACAGACCAAAUAGGAAUGCUGGACUCACGGACCAUAACUUAGCCGAUACUUAUUUGUUCCAAAGUUUUGGAGAACCAAUCGGCAAAGUUGAAAUUACAGAAUUAGAUCAUUUAUCGUGGGUACAAGAACAUCGAUAUGUUCUGUUUCACCACGAAUCAUUGGAACCUUUACGGAAGUAAGUUCUACAAAUUUGUUAAAUAUUUAUCAAACUAAUAACUGUUUAUCUUCUAACAAAGUGAACAUUUUUUUAACAUAGUGAGUACAAAAAUAUUGAGAUCUCGUUCGCGCUCCCGAAGAACACAACAUCGAGAUAUCAAUAAGUUGUUUACAGAAUCUUUUUAUGAAUGGUUAAGCCAAACGGUAUGCAGUUGGAGCUUCCGCUUACAAAUAAUAAUGUUUUCUCAUAACAUUUUUAAUUACUCAGUUUACUUUCCAUUCAAUAGGUUUGGAGUGGGAAGAACGUAAACGAUGAAGUUAAAUGGCUCUCCCAAGGUCCAAAUCGAGUGGUUAAAAGAUAUAGUGCGUUCCUCAUCAACGGAUUCAGAUUUCAUACAAAAUAUCGCGAGAGGUUGAGGAGAAUGCAAAAUUGUGGAAUAGUUGUUAAUUCUGCAAUUACAAGUUAUGCUAGUGCUAGGGACAAUAAUCCUGUCGAGGGAAAUGUGGAAUAUUUCGGACAUCUUACUGACAUAAUUGAGUUGGAUUACUACGGCAAAUGGAAAGUUAUCUUAUUUCGGGGUGAUUGGGCCGAUGUUAAUACAGCUCGUGGAAUUAAGCAAGAUCAAUUUGGUUUUACAAUGGUGAACUUUGACCGAUUGAUUCACACAGGACAACAACUGAUAGAUGAGCCGUAUGUAUUCUCAUCUCAAGUCAAACAAGUUUUUUACUCAAAAGAUCCAAUUGAUGAGGGUUGGUAUGUUGUACUCCGUAACAUCCCUAGAGACUUGUUUGACAUGGGCAGUGGAAGUAGAGAUAACAUCGACGACAGAUCAGAAACUUUGCCCUUUCCAGAGCAAAACUUAAACGAUAAUAUCCCUAGUACUAGUGCACAAUUUCAAUGGGUUCGUCAGGAUACCGAUGAAGAUAUUUACGAAUAAUGAUGUAGUAAGAUUUUACGAUUUUUUAAACUUAUAUAACUUACAUUAGUAUUAAAUCUUGGUCUUAUUAUAUAUUUCAACUAUUUUAUAUGUGUUGUUAUUGUUGUAAUUAGUUAUUAAGUUUAAUUACAUUUUAUGUGUAUUGCAGAUAAAAUGCCUAGAAGAAAAAUUAUAAGGGAAAGCAUUGUUCAAAAUGAUCCAAACUCGACAGAAACAAAUAGUACUGAAUAACAGACAGCAAUUGGAUCUUCGAAUGUUCCGAUUAUACCUGAGGAUCCUACGGAAGUUCAAAGUAAUUUUACAUUUAAUUUACAUGCGUGUUGACUUAUAAUUGAUUUAUUUUUCAAAUUCUUAUAUUAUAAUAUACCAUUUGUAGGUGAAAAAGGUUGGACGCGUAGAGGUCGAGGACGUACGCUACUUAGAGAGUUAUACAAGUUAGAUCCAGUCGAGCAUGUCAAGGUAUGCAGAAACAGUUUUGGUCAGCCUGUUGGAUCUGAAGCUCGACUUUUAGCAGGAUACAUGGGCAUUUUAGCACGAAAUGUGAAUAUGUUGCCUAUCAACUACGAGUCAUGGCGUCAAAUGCCCGAUAGCAACAAAAACCAAGCCCUCGAUAAUAUUAAGGUAACAAAAUGUUAAUGUCAUCUGUAAUGCUUGGGAAAUAGUUUCAUUUAUAUUUACUUUAUUAACUUGUGUUUUUUGUAGGCGAGGUUUGCUUUAGAGGUCUCGGAUGCUUAUGUAAAGAAGGCAUUGGGAAAAAGAUGGAGAGACAAUAAAAGUACUUUGAAGAAAAAUUAUUAUAAGACAAAAACAACCCUCGAUGAGAAAUUGCAAAAUGUCCCGCCGGGUAUGUUGAGGUACCAAUGGGAAGAUGCGGUUAGAUUUUGGCAUUCUGAGAAAGGCGAGGUAUGACGUACUUCCAAACUAUUGUAAUUAUUUUAGUUUAUAGUAUUUACUAUUUACGUACUAAAAAUUUUAUAACGUAGGAUCAUGAACGAGUUGGAAAAAGCAGCCGGCAGCAACAAAAAUUCACUCACACAGCCGGGUCGAGAAGUUUUGCAUGUGUAGCUGAGGCGGAGGUAUUUUUAAUUUUUUAAUAUUCUCAAAUAUGUAUAACUUUCUAUUAAAUAAUAUUUUUACUACUAUAUUGUAGGAACGGUCGUCCGGUCAAAAAGUUGGACGCCUUCAACUUUUUGAAAUUACACAUAAGAAGAAAGAUGGAUCUGCUAUGACUCCUGAAGCUGGUGAAAUUAUGGUACGUUUACUUAAUACGAUUUGACUUGUUUUAGUUAUUUAUAGUGUUUAUUUUCUAAUGGUUUAAUUCAUUGCUUGUAAUGCGACUAUUGUUAUAUUGCAUUUGUUUUUUUAAUAUAUAUUGCGUUCUUUUAGGAAAAACUAAAGGAACAAAAGACGGAGUACGAAGUGAUUGCUUCUAGUGAUAGUUCUGUUCAUCUUGAAGACAUUGAUAACUGGAUUAUUACUGAAGUUUUGGGUCCUGAAAAGUAUGGUCGAGUUCGAUUUCAAGGAUCUUUUAUCAACCCAACCCAAUAUUUUGGAUCCAGCUCGCACCAAUACAUGGCUUCGAGGAGUCAAUCUCAAGUUGAAGUUCAGAGGUUAAAAGACCAGAUGGCUCAGAUACAAGCAACCACAUUUGAGGUUCAAAGGAAAUAUGAAGAACUUCAGCAACUUAAAACAGAGGCGGCAGCGAGGGAAGCAAAGGCUACAGCGAGAGAAGCAGAGGUUGCAGCAAGAGAAGCAGCGAGAGAAGCAGCGAUAGAAGCAGAGGUUCAAAAGAAAUAUGAAGAACUAUAGCUACGACUUCAAAAAGAUAUGGCAUCGAGAGAAGCAGAGCAGAGCAAAAAGUACGACGAACUUCAACAACAGCUUCAGAUUAUGAUGAAGAUGUUUCAGCAGUCGCAACUCCUGUCGUCAUAGUGUAUGUUGCAUAAAUAUUUUUAUCAUUUUAACUUUUAACGUUUUUGUAAAGAAAAGUAUGAAUUCACUUUUAUUUAUAUCAAUUAAUAUUAUUUGUCAUUUAAUUUGAAAUAUUAUAUAAAUUUAUUGUUUUUGGUUAGUUUAGAUCUGGUUGUUUUUGAUUUGUUGUUGCAGGAGGGCUGAAAAAAACAGAAAAUUUUAUUUUAAAAAAAUCCCAAAAUUAGUGGCGUUUUUUAAAAAAGCGCCGCUAAAAGUCAUAUCAAAUAGUGGCGUUUGUGAAAUAAGCGCCGCUAAAGAAUACUACUUUUAGCGGUGUUUUUGACCAAGCGCCGCUAUAGAACAUUACUUUUAGCAGCGUUUUCUUCCUAAGCGCCGCUAAAGAACAUGAUCUUUAGCGGCUUUUUUCCUAAGCGCCGCUAAAGAACAUGAUAUUUAGCUGCAUUUUUUAAUAAGCGCCGCUAAAGAAAAUAAUCUUUAACGGCGUUUAUUUCCUUAGCGCCGCUAAAGAACAUGAUCUUUAGCGGCGUUUUUUUUCUGUAAGCGCCGCAAAAGUUAGCGACGUUGUCGUUAACGGCAUUUUUUGUGGCGCUUCUUCAAGUGCCGCAAAUGCCUUUAGUGGCGUUAAGAAGCGCCGCUAAAGGCCUAAAAAAACGCCGCUAAAAACAUGUUCUGGUGUAGUGUAUGCUCGUGGUUAGCUCUCUCGUUGGACUUGAAUUUCAGCAAGUUACAAGUCUACAACUACGUGCUUUAACUUCAUUAUUUUAGAAAAGUAGACCAUUGGCUCUGUGCUACGUACGUAGUAGGAGUACUAUAAAUUAUGGCCACUUCACAGCAAUAUUAUUGCAGUUCCUGGUUGGUUACCUCUGUGUUUUCAACUUAAAAUUUCUUGGUUUUCCUCAAGAAGGAAGAAGAUGUUGCAAAUAGCUUUCAGCUCGUAUUCAUGGCUGUUGACUGCUAGCCACCAGAAAGAUGGAAUGUUGUUCCCAGUAGCUUUGUCAUUUUUGGUAGCCAUAUUGGGCAUUUCAUUGUGGCACGUAUGGACCAUAAGAAAGCCAAAGAAAGACAUCGCCCCAUUACCGCUGGGUCCCCGUGGGUUGCCAAUAGUGGGAUAUCUUCCAUAUCUUGGAACUGAUAAUCUUCACUUAGUGUUUACAGAUUUGGCUGCAGCUUACGGUCCCAUCUACAAGCUUUGGCUCGGAAACAAAUUAUGUGUAGUCAUUAGCUCGGCACCACUAGCGAAAGAAGUGGUUCGUGACAACGACAUCACAUUUUCGGAGAGGGAUCCUCCCGUUUGUGCAAAGAUUAUUACCUUUGGCCUCAAUGAUAUUGUAUUUGAUUCUUACAGUAGUCCAGAUUGGAGAAUGAAGAGAAAAGUGCUGGUACGUGAAAUGCUUAGCCAUAGUAGCAUUAAAGCUUGUUAUGGUCUAAGGAGGGAACAAGUGCUUAAAGGCGUAC
rnacentral:lncRNA from 1 species